rnacentral:lncRNA from 1 species
CAAAGUUUAUGUCGAUCAAAAUCUUCCUUCCUCUGUCCCUCCUUGGUUCAAACUCAAUGGGACAGGGUAGUGCCGGUCCCGCAGCCACUGUAGCUCGGUUGUGCUUGCAUUUUCCAUUUGCUUUCUAUGUAGACUCUGCUUUCGUAAGACAGAUUUCACAUCGAUCCCUAGAGGUUAUAAACCUCCCAACUUCGUAACAUUUUCGGGAGAGGACAAGCAGUCAACAGUUGUUAGGCUUUUCGUAAUAACCUCGCUUGUGGAGGGACAUGGACCAAAACAAAACCUGUUGGCUAAUACGUUGUGAAGCUGGCUCUGGCCUCUGCUGCGGGUCAUUUGAAUGACUAUUAAUAUGACUAACAUUCCCUUAUCUAAAUCUAAGGGACCGACCACAAGGUUUGCACAUCAAGUUUAUCUCGGACCUUGUGACAUUGAUCUUUUUCUGCUUUGUUAAGUUGGUGAAGACCGGUCACCUCAAUCCUUUUCGGAAAGUCUUCCUUCUAUAAUAAAUUAUCAGAUAUACAGCAUUAUCCGCCUAGCCCUUUGUAUGUACCAGUUACCGGAAGAGUACAGGCUAGGAGGAAGGCAAGCGCCUCCCAAUGCAGGCUAAGCUCACCCUACACCUGACAGAACGGAACCAUAAAGCUAGGCUUCAAAAGGAACGAUAGAAAGCUCUGACAAAGCCAUGAACCGGAAAUCUUUCUAUAAAGAAAUAGGUCGAAUCCCUGUAACCGAAGUCUCUCCCUCUCUAUUCCUAUCCGAGCCGACCAUAGCCUAAUCCCAUAACCCUUCAUGAACCCGAUAGCAAGCAUGUGUUGGCGAGUCAACCGAUUUUCAGUCUUCUGAAUGAGAUCCGAGCUAACCAAAGCAAUCGAAAGGCUUUCCAUCUUUUUUUUUGCAGGCUAACGGGCCUUUCGUCGUUCCUGAACCGGCAAGGGAAGUUACUGGCAACCCAUCUCCUUCCCAUUGACUUGUUAAGACUUACUAAAGGAAGGCGAUCCGCAUCUCCAAAUUUAUCUGUGGGCGAGCAAACGAAUGAAGCAUCUAAAUCUAUUGCACCUGCGUUUUCCCUCCCAUCUCAUCUUGUGAUUAUGCAAUUCCAUCCUUUCUAAAAGUCUUUUUUUUUUCCCUACAGGCCCAGUCCUUCUCUUUCCUCUGCUACGGAUCUCUCUCCUGGGGAACCUUCCGCCCUGUCUUUUUAUCCUAUCCCGACGGGGGCAUAGCUAGCUUCUUUUUGGUUAGCGGAGGGAUGGCUAUUCAAGGAUUCGAAGCUUUAUCUGGUUUCUACCCGCAGGCUGAUUCCGUUGAGUCAACAUCCCCGGUACCCUUGAGUGAAUGACCUAACCAACGGGUAGAUGGAUAGGAGGGUUGGUCCACGACCCCUCGAUGCAUUCCAGAAUCCGUUACUGGAUAGCCCCCCUGAAUUCCAUCCAGCCUCCUCAUCCCAUCCCUCCCGAGGCCCACACGCACGGGCCCCGAAACCGUAUUAGAUUCUAGUCUUCCACCCACCCCGGGCAAUGACUGUUCACAUGAUGCACAUUUCUUAAAGAAUGGUGAUUAGGAAAGGAAGAUCACUUAAUGAAAGGAAAGAUCAAUCCGGGAGGGUGCACAGAGGAGAGGUUAAUGGUUGAAGGCUGGGCCAAUGGCCAAUAAAGAAAAAAAAGGUGGGCAAGGAAGGCUCAACUAGCUAGAUCCUAAGAUCUCGAUCCACAGCUUAGUAAUCCGCAGACGCUUCAUACGAAGCCGAAUCCGCUGAAUCAGGGGAAUCCACCGAUCCAGGUAGGUGAGUUGGUAUAUAACCAAAGUAAGAGCAGAAGGAAAACUCGACCAGAAGACCUGCUAACCCAAGCGCCCACGAAGAGAGAUUUCGAAUAUUGAACUAAGUAGGUAGUAGGCCUUUGUUGUAAAAGCCUUUGAAUAUCUUCCAUCUUCUCCUUGGCAAGAGCAGUCCUACUUGAAAAAUCUGAAAAAUGGUCCUUAUUUAGUUUUGUUUUCUGAGAGCCACCUUCACUUCAGAUUUUGCAAUUUGGAGCAUAAUUGGAACAUGGGGGGAACCUUCUACCUCUUCUUGCCAAAUCUUUUCCACCAACGGUAAAAAUUCAGGAUGAUCGACCCAAAAAUCAAAGAAAAAGAACUUGAAUGCUUUCUUUGCUCUGGGAAGGUCAGCCAGCUCAGCCUGGGAAAUAGUAUCCUCCAAGCUGCUCAUCCAACUAGGCCAAUCCUGUGAGCCUCCAGCCCUCUCAUUCAUUCUUCUAACCGCAUUGAAGUCACCCACAACCAACCACGGUCUACCACUAAUUCCAGAAGCAAACGAGACCAGAUUAUCCCACUUUGUUUCCCUUUUCCUAUAGCAAUUAUCUCCAUAUACUAUAGAAAGCGUACAACACCAGGGGUUAGACAAAUCUCUCACCAAGCAAUGAAUAACCUGUUCCUCCUGAUCAAGCACAGACACAUCCAGCCUAGAAGGAUUCCAACAAACCCAUAUUCUCCCCCUUGGGGAAAGAUUCUAGUUCCAACUAGCAUGCCAUCCCGGGGCUAUAGCUCUCAAAACUCUGUCUUUAUUCACUUCCUUUAUUUUCGUCUCAAUUAACGCAACAAAAGAAAGCUUGUGCUCUAGAAUCAAUUUCCUCACUUCAUUUUGCUUCAUAGGGUCGUUAAGACCCCUAAUAUUCCACACACCAAGAAAGAUGGGGACAAAGGGUAGAACAAAACUAGAGCACGAAUCCCAGGGGGAGUAACUCCCUUAGACACUUUCUGGGGUUGCCCUUCUUGUCCAGGGAAUCUUUGCCCUUACACCUAAGGAGUUCAACUCAGGAGAGGCUGUGGACGGGUCUGAGCAACCUGGACUGAUUGAGCUAGAAGGCUUAACGGGGGUUGACGGCGUGCCGAUAGCCAGGUCUGCGGGUCGCUGCAUCCGAUAGGAAGAGCUUCAUAGAACCUGAAAACUAUUUAGGCAACUUUAGAUGCAUUCUCUCAAUUCUCAAUUUCUCGGUCGAAGGUAGUACCAAUACUAGGUCGCGAACACGCACUCUGAACUUGCUGAUCUCUCGGGCAAUGAAUAUACUUGCGGGGUUAUAUCCCAUACGAAGAAGACCAAAAUGGGUCGGGCAACCCCCAAUCUUGAUGAGUCGAAAUUUCGUUUUUUGGCCAGUAACGAGUUCUAGGCUUUAGGCCAGUUCAAGAAAGAAGGUUGGGCUAAAGCCCCUUCCUCGUCCACUUGGUGGGUGAGUAAACUGAGUCUACUGAUAUAAGAAGUAGACUUCGUUCCACCGGUUCUUCAGUCUUGUUACGAUUCACCGAAAGCACAAAUGUGAUCACGUAUCUAAUGUCCAUUGACCCACCUUCCGGAUAUAUGAGGCUACCGGAACCAAACCAUGAUUCCUUUACACCUGGGGCUACUGAGAGAGAGAAAUCUCCGAACCAGACCCAGGACCUCUUCUUCACCGGGAUAUGAGCUAAACUUCAACGACAGGACGUGGGCUAAUCAAAAAAACUCAUUUGAUUUCGAGAAGGUCAAAGACAUGAGAAGAAUAAGCAAUCAAAGAGGUACGGUCAAAUCAAUGCUUUCAAUCAGCUUUAACCAAUUCUUUGAUUGCUCAGUCGAAAGAUGAAGGGGUAUCCGCAGGUCUCGUAGAUAUGCUUGGAUGGGACUCCUCUGAGUCCCCGGUGGAGACAGUCUAGACAAAAAGAAAGAGUAUACAUUUUUUUUAGCAGGAGAAGCGAUGUCUGGCACAAGUUCCUGCUCCCCUUGAAUCUUAAUAUAAUAGGUAUGGUGGGCUGGGCUCUUCUAUCUCUUACUCGACCUAGCUUUCUCUCCAUAUAAAUUCGUAGCAGUCUUCUUAGUACUUCUCUUCUUAACAGUCGACCCUCUCUCUAUUCCUUCUCAUAAGUAACUUCCAGAUAAUAACUAAGAAGCGCGCCCGAGCCCAAAUUACACGAGACGUUCUUAUCCGAGAUUUCACUCCUGAAACCACGAAGAAAGCGUAUUUAAGUAACUAACCUAACCUACGCGGGCAAUCUUCUCUUCUUCUCAUACCCAAUGAAGCUUCUUUCUUCUGACGUUCAGUCCUACCUCAAAUGGAGAAGCCCUAUUCUCAAGCAAGUAGCAGUGCUCACUUUCCCAAUAAGGAAAAAAUAAGCACAGAAACUCCAGACUGACCUAAAAAUCCUUCCGAGACCGGUCGAGCUGGUCUAUCUUUUCUCUUUAUUUGCCUCUGCCUUGAGACUCUCUCUGUUUGGAACAGUGUGUGAGCCCUGACAAUUGACCUGACAUUUUAGGUGCACCUUUACGCGAGGCAAAUCGAAACCUCCAUAGUGUUAGUGAUUCUUCAUUCAUGUAGGGCCCCUUUCUCUUCUUAGCCUCUUUCUUUAGCCAUCCUGACCGACCCCCUAAACGAGGAGUAAGCGUUGAAGGGGUCUACUGACUUCAAAAUCUUUUAAAAGCAAAAAAGGUCUAUCAGACUCACACUGCUCGAGUCUAGUAGACUCUGAUCGGGGCUACCUUACUAUAGGAAUUCCGCAGAUAUAGACUAAAAUAAAAUCAAGACAGCUUCCUAUCUCGAAUCCAAAGAACAAACAGGCUGGUGUGUGUCAAUACGAAAACGAAUCUUCUGUCCAGUCCAUGAAAGGUAUCUCGUUUGUAUGUGCCUCCCUCUCAAAACAAAAGAAGUGAACCAAAAGAAAAAACAAAAAACUGUAUACGCAACGGCGGCUUAGUUGCUACCGUACCGCUCAUCAGUCUCAAUCCCUAUCCCGGAGAGUAAAGGCGUUCAUUUGACUUUCAAAAUGGAAAGAAGCACUAUGUCACUGACGUUUCAUACACAGAAAGCUUUCUCUUUAUUAUUAUAUAAAGCAAUACCGACGAGCAAGGUAGCUUAUUGAAUGCCGACUACUACGAGAGGUAUAGCUUACUCACUCACAUAUCGACCGGCACAUGAGCACUUUAUUUAAAUUGAGUAAUUUAGGUCCAAGAUUGAUCAAUCUCAAUGGGAAAAGCACGAGAUUUCAUUUUUUUAUCCAAAAGAUGUAGAUCUCUUAAGCCUACCGUCUAGGUAAGAUGCCAGCUUUCCUAUCUCUUAAAGCUAUUCCUUAGAUACAGAACCACUUCAAAUCAAAACAAAACGGGGGGCUUAAACUUUCUCAUAAAAACAAGGCGAUUUGAGAGUCCGGUCAAGCGUAAAUUCAAUGUAAAAAAGGUUUCAAGGAGAAUAGGGCACAGAGAGACCUAACCCCUUUCCGACGAGAUAGGCCUUUAAACUACAGAGUUCAAUGAAGAAAUGGAAUGAGCUAGCGGUUAAAGGUCAACUGAGACCCGGAAACUCGCGUAGGUCCACAUAUAUGAGUCUACUCCGGCAGUUCUUAUAACUUAGAACCGAGACAGGCUAUCCGUUAGCGCGGGUUGGAGCAUUCUAUUCUUCUGGUUACUAUAAUUACUAAGCUACUCCUCUUUUACCAGAUAGAGAAAGGGCCUCGACUUACCCUGUCAGUGAGAACAGGUACGCCUUUUCCUACAGCACUGACGUCCGGGGAAAAGCCGGUAUGGGAGCUAGUCUCAAAAGCAGGAGUUGUAGCCUUUCAAGAUUAUGAGAACGGGAUCCAACCCUGUUAGGGUUUCAAGCUUUAGGCCUGGUGCUUAGGCUGUCAGGCAGGCGGAAUUCAUACUUUUUGAAUUGAGAGAGGGGUUCAGAGAAAGACUCGUUGGAAGCUUCCAGUCUCACCACACCACCAUCUUUUUCAUUUCAAACUUGCAUAGCAACAGGGGCGAUCAGUUGAAUCUGAUCGGUAGGGCUGCAUAUCGCUGUUCGCCUGGUCGGUACUAUCCGUUCCUUUUAGUGUCCCCCACCGCAACCCCAUUACUCGAUCAGGGUAUCUAAGCCACUGCUCUAUUCCCGACUCGAAAUCCAUAAAGGACUUUAAGGGAGAACUGUUCUCUCUAUCUCAGCUGCUUUCCCUACUACCGGCACAAGAGGGACUUUUUCUCUAAAGCCUACUUCCUCUCUCUGAUCUCCAAACCCAUUUUUCUCUCUAAAGAUUUUUGCUGAGGAGGUGUUCAUGAUAAUCCCCUCAUCAGGUUUCUCGGAGGCUUCUACCCCGGCCUGAAAUCACUCCACUUCCAUCUCCGAGAAGUGUAUCCGACGAAUUUCUUCCUAAAACGGUGUCUGUUAUGGUCGCAGCAGCUGAUGCUGCCUCCACAUCAAACUUUGUUCCUCCACCUGCUAACAACACUAUACUAUAUAGGAAGAGCCGGCACAACUUCAGUUUCUUUUUCUUCCAACCAAUGCUUGCCAUGGCCAGUGCUUCCUUGUUCUUAUCUCCAUAGAAAGCGAAAAGAGACAAGGGAUUUCCUAUAGUCAAAAAAUAUGGGUUCGCCUGUUCAUUCAAUACCAUAAUAAAAACUAGUAGAGCGAGGGGAUAGUGACCAGUGACGAGUGACCAUAGGGCUUUGGUAACCGGAGGAGUAGUUGCCUAGUAGCCAGCUGACUUACGAGUACCAGCAACACUGACGGUUACGCUUUCUUAUACCGAUUCCUAUUUCUAACAAGCUCUGCUAUUCCUAUGAAUAGCCUGCUCCAAACCUGAGCUGAGUUGACCCAGAGGAACCCCUGAAUAAUAUCAUCAAUCACCUUCCACCAGAAGUCACCUAUAACAUCGUCCAGGAAAGGCUCCUCGCCUACAAUGCCCAUGAGGAAGAAUAACUAACUAUUUUCAUAUGCCUUUGAUAUAAGAAAAAAGACUCUGAGCUUAGGCUCAAAACAAAGAAAGUCGGUAGAGGUCCUUUCAAGGAAAUGGGAUUCGUAUUAUUAACCUUAACCUAAGGUUACCGAAAGAAAGACAACAAGCCUGAAAAGAAGAAGCUUGCUCUUCUGACCCUUUUGCGUGCUAUUCCUUUUAAAGUGGUGCAAACGGUCUCAAAGAAGCGAAGUGGGACCUUUCUAGGAAGUAGGGUGGAUUUGUGACAACUUUCGUCACCGUCUUUCUAAGUGGUAUGGUACGCUAGGUAGUUGACGGGCGUUUAACUGCGGUCUGGUUUCAAAGACUGGACACCUAGAAGUAUACUACUGGAUUGAAGGCCUUUUGACGUUGGGAUGAUGACGAGUCUCUGCCUGCAGACUAACACUCUGGAGACUACGGGUCCCUACGGUGCAACCCCGCUUAGGUCGGAAGCCAUCCCAGCCCGGGCGAAUUGGGUCUUUGCAUUAACCUCAAAAGGAUAAAAAGCGCAUCAGGUAUAGGAAGGACUUCUUACAGGAGCACAGGAGAACAACCUAUAUCAAGGAUGGUAGCUGACUAGCACUCACAAAAAGGCACUUAUGGAUGAGUUCCUUGAUUGGCUAGUCAGGGAUUCUCCGGAGAGCUAUUACUUAAGAUUAAAUAAGGAAUUUCCUACGUCCCUCAUCGGUCUGAAUCCCCACCCCCACGGAAGGGGGGCGGUUUACGAUCCUGUUUCAGCUGUCUGAACUAAAACCAGUCAACUCGACAAAUAACAUCCUGAGCAGUUACGGCAAUUAACUCUUGGAGUUAUGACAGUGGGUUGUUAUUUUCUUCUUUUUUUCCGAAGCCUGUAAACCAGCUAAGAGACACUUUCAUUGGGACCAUACCACCUUUCGUGGUUAGGAAAUUCCUUAUUUAAUCUUAAGUAAUAGCUCUCCGGAGAAUCCCUUGACUAGCCAAUCAAGGAACUCAUCCCAUAAGUGCCUUUUUGUGAGUGCUAGUCAGCUACCAUCCUUGAUAUAGGUUGUUCUCCUGUGCUCCUGUAAGAAGUCCUUCCUAUACCUGAUGCGCUUUUUAUCCUUUUGAGGUUAAUGCAAAGACCCAAUUCGCCCGGGCUGGGAUGGCUUCCGACCUAAGCGGGGUUGCACCGUAGGGACCCGUAGUCUCCAGAGUGUUAGUCUGCAGGCAGAGACUCGUCAUCAUCCCAACGUCAAAAGGCCUUCAAUCCAGUAGUAUACUUCUAGGUGUCCAGUCUUUGAAACCAGACCGCAGUUAAACGCCCGUCAACUACCUAGCGUACCAUACCACUUAGAAAGACGGUGACGAAAGUUGUCACAAAUCCACCCUACUUCCUAGAAAGGUCCCACUUCGCUUCUUUGAGACCGUUUGCACCACUUUAAAAGGAAUAGCACGCAAAAGGGUCAGAAGAGCAAGCUUCUUCUUUUCAGGCUUGUUGUCUUUCUUUCGGUAACCUUAGGUUAAGGUUAAUAAUACGAAUCCCAUUUCCUUGAAAGGACCUCUACCCGACUUUCUUUGUUUUGAGCCUAAGCUCAGAGUCUUUUUUCUUAUAUCAAAGGCAUAUGAAAAAUAGUUAGUUAUUCUUCCUCAUGGGCAUUGUAGGCGAGGAGCCUUUCCUGGACGAUGUUAUAGGUGACUUCUGGUGGAAGGUGAUUGAUGAUAUUAUUCAGGGGUUCCUCUGGGUCAACUCAGCUCAGGUUUGGAGCAGGCUAUUCAUAGGAAUAGCAGAGCUUGUUAGAAAUAGGAAUCGGUAUAAGAAAGCGUAACCGUCAGUGUUGCUGGUACUCGUAAGUCAGCUGGCUACUAGGCAACUACUCCUCCGGUUACCAAAGCCCUAUGGUCACUCGUCACUGGUCACUAUCCCUCGCUCUACUAGUUUUUAUUAUGGUAUUGAAUGAACAGGCGAACCCAUAUUUUUUGACUAUAGGAAAUCCCUUGUCUCUUUUCGCUUUCUAUGGAGAUAAGAACAAGGAAGCACUGGCCAUGGCAAGCAUUGGUUGGAAGAAAAAGAAACUGAAGUUGUGCCGGCUCUUCCUAUAUAGUAUAGUGUUGUUAGCAGGUGGAGGAACAAAGUUUGAUGUGGAGGCAGCAUCAGCUGCUGCGACCAUAACAGACACCGUUUUAGGAAGAAAUUCGUCGGAUACACUUCUCGGAGAUGGAAGUGGAGUGAUUUCAGGCCGGGGUAGAAGCCUCCGAGAAACCUGAUGAGGGGAUUAUCAUGAACACCUCCUCAGCAAAAAUCUUUAGAGAGAAAAAUGGGUUUGGAGAUCAGAGAGAGGAAGUAGGCUUUAGAGAAAAAGUCCCUCUUGUGCCGGUAGUAGGGAAAGCAGCUGAGAUAGAGAGAACAGUUCUCCCUUAAAGUCCUUUAUGGAUUUCGAGUCGGGAAUAGAGCAGUGGCUUAGAUACCCUGAUCGAGUAAUGGGGUUGCGGUGGGGGACACUAAAAGGAACGGAUAGUACCGACCAGGCGAACAGCGAUAUGCAGCCCCUACCGAUCAGAUUCAACUGAUCGCCCCUGUUGCUAUGCAAGUUUGAAAUGAAAAAGAUGGUGGUGUGGUGAGACUGGAAGCUUCCAACGAGUCUUUCUCUGAACCCCUCUCUCAAUUCAAAAAGUAUGAAUUCCGCCUGCCUGACAGCCUAAGCACCAGGCCUAAAGCUUGAAACCCUAACAGGGUUGGAUCCCGUUCUCAUAAUCUUGAAAGGCUACAACUCCUGCUUUUGAGACUAGCUCCCAUACCGGCUUUUCCCCGGACGUCAGUGCUGUAGGAAAAGGCGUACCUGUUCUCACUGACAGGGUAAGUCGAGGCCCUUUCUCUAUCUGGUAAAAGAGGAGUAGCUUAGUAAUUAUAGUAACCAGAAGAAUAGAAUGCUCCAACCCGCGCUAACGGAUAGCCUGUCUCGGUUCUAAGUUAUAAGAACUGCCGGAGUAGACUCAUAUAUGUGGACCUACGCGAGUUUCCGGGUCUCAGUUGACCUUUAACCGCUAGCUCAUUCCAUUUCUUCAUUGAACUCUGUAGUUUAAAGGCCUAUCUCGUCGGAAAGGGGUUAGGUCUCUCUGUGCCCUAUUCUCCUUGAAACCUUUUUUACAUUGAAUUUACGCUUGACCGGACUCUCAAAUCGCCUUGUUUUUAUGAGAAAGUUUAAGCCCCCCGUUUUGUUUUGAUUUGAAGUGGUUCUGUAUCUAAGGAAUAGCUUUAAGAGAUAGGAAAGCUGGCAUCUUACCUAGACGGUAGGCUUAAGAGAUCUACAUCUUUUGGAUAAAAAAAUGAAAUCUCGUGCUUUUCCCAUUGAGAUUGAUCAAUCUUGGACCUAAAUUACUCAAUUUAAAUAAAGUGCUCAUGUGCCGGUCGAUAUGUGAGUGAGUAAGCUAUACCUCUCGUAGUAGUCGGCAUUCAAUAAGCUACCUUGCUCGUCGGUAUUGCUUUAUAUAAUAAUAAAGAGAAAGCUUUCUGUGUAUGAAACGUCAGUGACAUAGUGCUUCUUUCCAUUUUGAAAGUCAAAUGAACGCCUUUACUCUCCGGGAUAGGGAUUGAGACUGAUGAGCGGUACGGUAGCAACUAAGCCGCCGUUGCGUAUACAGUUUUUUGUUUUUUCUUUUGGUUCACUUCUUUUGUUUUGAGAGGGAGGCACAUACAAACGAGAUACCUUUCAUGGACUGGACAGAAGAUUCGUUUUCGUAUUGACACACACCAGCCUGUUUGUUCUUUGGAUUCGAGAUAGGAAGCUGUCUUGAUUUUAUUUUAGUCUAUAUCUGCGGAAUUCCUAUAGUAAGGUAGCCCCGAUCAGAGUCUACUAGACUCGAGCAGUGUGAGUCUGAUAGACCUUUUUUGCUUUUAAAAGAUUUUGAAGUCAGUAGACCCCUUCAACGCUUACUCCUCGUUUAGGGGGUCGGUCAGGAUGGCUAAAGAAAGAGGCUAAGAAGAGAAAGGGGCCCUACAUGAAUGAAGAAUCACUAACACUAUGGAGGUUUCGAUUUGCCUCGCGUAAAGGUGCACCUAAAAUGUCAGGUCAAUUGUCAGGGCUCACACACUGUUCCAAACAGAGAGAGUCUCAAGGCAGAGGCAAAUAAAGAGAAAAGAUAGACCAGCUCGACCGGUCUCGGAAGGAUUUUUAGGUCAGUCUGGAGUUUCUGUGCUUAUUUUUUCCUUAUUGGGAAAGUGAGCACUGCUACUUGCUUGAGAAUAGGGCUUCUCCAUUUGAGGUAGGACUGAACGUCAGAAGAAAGAAGCUUCAUUGGGUAUGAGAAGAAGAGAAGAUUGCCCGCGUAGGUUAGGUUAGUUACUUAAAUACGCUUUCUUCGUGGUUUCAGGAGUGAAAUCUCGGAUAAGAACGUCUCGUGUAAUUUGGGCUCGGGCGCGCUUCUUAGUUAUUAUCUGGAAGUUACUUAUGAGAAGGAAUAGAGAGAGGGUCGACUGUUAAGAAGAGAAGUACUAAGAAGACUGCUACGAAUUUAUAUGGAGAGAAAGCUAGGUCGAGUAAGAGAUAGAAGAGCCCAGCCCACCAUACCUAUUAUAUUAAGAUUCAAGGGGAGCAGGAACUUGUGCCAGACAUCGCUUCUCCUGCUAAAAAAAAUGUAUACUCUUUCUUUUUGUCUAGACUGUCUCCACCGGGGACUCAGAGGAGUCCCAUCCAAGCAUAUCUACGAGACCUGCGGAUACCCCUUCAUCUUUCGACUGAGCAAUCAAAGAAUUGGUUAAAGCUGAUUGAAAGCAUUGAUUUGACCGUACCUCUUUGAUUGCUUAUUCUUCUCAUGUCUUUGACCUUCUCGAAAUCAAAUGAGUUUUUUGAUUAGCCCACGUCCUGUCGUUGAAGUUUAGCUCAUAUCCCGGUGAAGAAGAGGUCCUGGGUCUGGUUCGGAGAUUUCUCUCUCUCAGUAGCCCCAGGUGUAAAGGAAUCAUGGUUUGGUUCCGGUAGCCUCAUAUAUCCGGAAGGUGGGUCAAUGGACAUUAGAUACGUGAUCACAUUUGUGCUUUCGGUGAAUCGUAACAAGACUGAAGAACCGGUGGAACGAAGUCUACUUCUUAUAUCAGUAGACUCAGUUUACUCACCCCACCAAGUGGACGAGGAAGGGGCUUUAGCCCAACCUUCUUUCUUGAACUGGCCUAAAGCCUAGAACUCGUUACUGGCCAAAAAACGAAAUUUCGACUCAUCAAGAUUGGGGGUUGCCCGACCCAUUUUGGUCUUCUUCGUAUGGGAUAUAACCCCGCAAGUAUAUUCAUUGCCCGAGAGAUCAGCAAGUUCAGAGUGCGUGUUCGCGACCUAGUAUUGGUACUACCUUCGACCGAGAAAUUGAGAAUUGAGAGAAUGCAUCUAAAGUUGCCUAAAUAGUUUUCAGGUUCUAUGAAGCUCUUCCUAUCGGAUGCAGCGACCCGCAGACCUGGCUAUCGGCACGCCGUCAACCCCCGUUAAGCCUUCUAGCUCAAUCAGUCCAGGUUGCUCAGACCCGUCCACAGCCUCUCCUGAGUUGAACUCCUUAGGUGUAAGGGGCAAAGAUUCCCUGGACAAGAAGGGCAACCCCCAGAAAGUGUCUAAGGGAGUUACUCCCCUGGGAUUCGUGCUCUAGUUUUGUUCUACCCUUUGUCCCCAUCUUUCUUGGUGUGUGGAAUAUUAGGGGUCUUAACGACCCUAUGAAGCAAAAUGAAGUGAGGAAAUUGAUUCUAGAGCACAAGCUUUCUUUUGUUGCGUUAAUUGAGACGAAAAUAAAGGAAGUGAAUAAAGACAGAGUUUUGAGAGCUAUAGCCCCGGGAUGGCAUGCUAGUUGGAACUAGAAUCUUUCCCCAAGGGGGAGAAUAUGGGUUUGUUGGAAUCCUUCUAGGCUGGAUGUGUCUGUGCUUGAUCAGGAGGAACAGGUUAUUCAUUGCUUGGUGAGAGAUUUGUCUAACCCCUGGUGUUGUACGCUUUCUAUAGUAUAUGGAGAUAAUUGCUAUAGGAAAAGGGAAACAAAGUGGGAUAAUCUGGUCUCGUUUGCUUCUGGAAUUAGUGGUAGACCGUGGUUGGUUGUGGGUGACUUCAAUGCGGUUAGAAGAAUGAAUGAGAGGGCUGGAGGCUCACAGGAUUGGCCUAGUUGGAUGAGCAGCUUGGAGGAUACUAUUUCCCAGGCUGAGCUGGCUGACCUUCCCAGAGCAAAGAAAGCAUUCAAGUUCUUUUUCUUUGAUUUUUGGGUCGAUCAUCCUGAAUUUUUACCGUUGGUGGAAAAGAUUUGGCAAGAAGAGGUAGAAGGUUCCCCCAUGUUCCAAUUAUGCUCCAAAUUGCAAAAUCUGAAGUGAAGGUGGCUCUCAGAAAACAAAACUAAAUAAGGACCAUUUUUCAGAUUUUUCAAGUAGGACUGCUCUUGCCAAGGAGAAGAUGGAAGAUAUUCAAAGGCUUUUACAACAAAGGCCUACUACCUACUUAGUUCAAUAUUCGAAAUCUCUCUUCGUGGGCGCUUGGGUUAGCAGGUCUUCUGGUCGAGUUUUCCUUCUGCUCUUACUUUGGUUAUAUACCAACUCACCUACCUGGAUCGGUGGAUUCCCCUGAUUCAGCGGAUUCGGCUUCGUAUGAAGCGUCUGCGGAUUACUAAGCUGUGGAUCGAGAUCUUAGGAUCUAGCUAGUUGAGCCUUCCUUGCCCACCUUUUUUUUCUUUAUUGGCCAUUGGCCCAGCCUUCAACCAUUAACCUCUCCUCUGUGCACCCUCCCGGAUUGAUCUUUCCUUUCAUUAAGUGAUCUUCCUUUCCUAAUCACCAUUCUUUAAGAAAUGUGCAUCAUGUGAACAGUCAUUGCCCGGGGUGGGUGGAAGACUAGAAUCUAAUACGGUUUCGGGCCCGUGCGUGUGGGCCUCGGGAGGGAUGGGAUGAGGAGGCUGGAUGGAAUUCAGGGGGCUAUCCAGUAACGGAUUCUGGAAUGCAUCGAGGGUCGUGGACCAACCCUCCUAUCCAUCUACCCGUUGGUUAGGUCAUUCACUCAAGGGUACCGGGGAUGUUGACUCAACGGAAUCAGCCUGCGGGUAGAAACCAGAUAAAGCUUCGAAUCCUUGAAUAGCCAUCCCUCCGCUAACCAAAAAGAAGCUAGCUAUGCCCCGUCGGGAUAGGAUAAAAAGACAGGGCGGAAGGUUCCCCAGGAGAGAGAUCCGUAGCAGAGGAAAGAGAAGGACUGGGCCUGUAGGGAAAAAAAAAAGACUUUUAGAAAGGAUGGAAUUGCAUAAUCACAAGAUGAGAUGGGAGGGAAAACGCAGGUGCAAUAGAUUUAGAUGCUUCAUUCGUUUGCUCGCCCACAGAUAAAUUUGGAGAUGCGGAUCGCCUUCCUUUAGUAAGUCUUAACAAGUCAAUGGAAGGAGAUGGGUUGCCAGUAACUUCCCUUGCCGGUUCAGGAACGACGAAAGGCCCGUUAGCCUGCAAAAAAAAAGAUGGAAAGCUUUCGAUUGCUUUGGUUAGCUCGGAUCUCAUUCAGAAGACUGAAAAUCGGUUGACUCGCCAACACAUGCUUGCUAUCGGGUUCAUGAAGGGUUAUGGGAUUAGGCUAUGGUCGGCUCGGAUAGGAAUAGAGAGGGAGAGACUUCGGUUACAGGGAUUCGACCUAUUUCUUUAUAGAAAGAUUUCCGGUUCAUGGCUUUGUCAGAGCUUUCUAUCGUUCCUUUUGAAGCCUAGCUUUAUGGUUCCGUUCUGUCAGGUGUAGGGUGAGCUUAGCCUGCAUUGGGAGGCGCUUGCCUUCCUCCUAGCCUGUACUCUUCCGGUAACUGGUACAUACAAAGGGCUAGGCGGAUAAUGCUGUAUAUCUGAUAAUUUAUUAUAGAAGGGAAGACUUUCCGAAAAGGAUUGAGGUGACCGGUCUUCACCAACUUAACAAAGCAGAAAAAGAUCAAUGUCACAAGGUCCGAGAUAAACUUGAUGUGCAAACCUUGUGGUCGGUCCCUUAGAUUUAGAUAAGGGAAUGUUAGUCAUAUUAAUAGUCAUUCAAAUGACCGCAGCAGAGGCCAGAGCCAGCUUCACAACGUAUUAGCCAACAGGUUUUUGUUUUGGUCCAUGUCCCUCCACAAGCGAGGUUAUUACGAAAAGCCUAACAACUGUUGACUGCUUGUCCUCUCCCGAAAAUGUUACGAAGUUGGAGGUUUAUAACCUCUAGGGAUCGAUGUGAAAUCUGUCUACGAAAACGGGAUCCAACCCUGUUAGGGUUUCAAGCUUUAGGCCUGGUGCUUAGGCUGUCAGGCAGGCGGAAUUCAUACUUUUUGAAUUGAGAGAGGGGUUCAGAGAAAGACUCGUUGGAAGCUUCCAGUCUCACCACACCACCAUCUUUUUCAUUUCAAACUUGCAUAGCAACAGGGGCGAUCAGUUGAAUCUGAUCGGUAGGGGCUGCAUAUCGCUGUUCGCCUGGUCGGUACUAUCCGUUCCUUUUAGUGUCCCCCACCGCAACCCCAUUACUCGAUCAGGGUAUCUAAGCCACUGCUCUAUUCCCGACUCGAAAUCCAUAAAGGACUUUAAGGAGAACUGUUCUCUCUAUCUCAGCUGCUUUCCCUACUACCGGCACAAAGAGGGACUUUUUCUCUAAAGCCUACUUCCUCUCUCUGAUCUCCAAACCCAUUUUUCUCUCUAAAGAUUUUUGCUGAGGAGGUGUUCAUGAUAAUCCCCUCAUCAGGUUUCUCGGAGGCUUCUACCCCGGCCUGAAAUCACUCCACUUCCAUCUCCGAGAAGUGUAUCCGACGAAUUUCUUCCUAAAACGGGUCUGUUAUGGUCGCAGCAGCUGAUGCUGCCUCCACAUCAAACUUUGUUCCUCCACCUGCUAACAACACUAUACUAUAUAGGAAGAGCCGGCACAACUUCAGUUUCUUUUUCUUCCAACCAAUGCUUGCCAUGGCCAGUGCUUCCUUGUUCUUAUCUCCAUAGAAAGCGAAAGAGACAAGGGAUUUCCUAUAGUCAAAAAAUAUGGGUUCGCCUGUUCAUUCAAUACCAUAAUAAAAACUAGUAGAGCGAGGGAUAGUGACCAGUGACGAGUGACCAUAGGGCUUUGGUAACCGGAGGAGUAGUUGCCUAGUAGCCAGCUGACUUACGAGUACCAGCAACACUGACGGUUACGCUUUCUUAUACCGAUUCCUAUUUCUAACAAGCUCUGCUAUUCCUAUGAAUAGCCUGCUCCAAACCUGAGCUGAGUUGACCCAGAGGAACCCCUGAAUAAUAUCAUCAAUCACUUCCACCAGAAGUCACCUAUAACAUCGUCCAGGAAAAGGCUCCUCGCCUACAAUGCCCAUGAGGAAGAAUAACUAACUAUUUUUCAUAUGCCUUUGAUAUAAGAAAAAAAGACUCUGAGCUUAGGCUCAAAACAAAGAAAGUCGGGUAGAGGUCCUUUCAAGGAAAUGGGAUUCGUAUUAUUAACCUUAACCUAAGGUUACCGAAAGAAAGACAACAAGCCUGAAAAGAAGAAGCUUGCUCUUCUGACCCUUUUGCGUGCUAUUCCUUUUAAAGUGGUGCAAACGGUCUCAAAGAAGCGAAGUGGGACCUUUCUAGGAAGUAGGGUGGAUUUGUGACAACUUUCGUCACCGUCUUUCUAAGUGGUAUGGUACGCUAGGUAGUUGACGGGCGUUUAACUGCGGUCUGGUUUCAAAGACUGGACACCUAGAAGUAUACUACUGGAUUGAAGGCCUUUUGACGUUGGGAUGAUGACGAGUCUCUGCCUGCAGACUAACACUCUGGAGACUACGGGUCCCUACGGUGCAACCCCGCUUAGGUCGGAAGCCAUCCCAGCCCGGGCGAAUUGGGUCUUUGCAUUAACCUCAAAAGGAUAAAAAGCGCAUCAGGUAUAGGAAGGACUUCUUACAGGAGCACAGGAGAACAACCUAUAUCAAGGAUGGUAGCUGACUAGCACUCACAAAAAGGCACUUAUGGAUGAGUUCCUUGAUUGGCUAGUCAAGGGAUUCUCCGGAGAGCUAUUACUUAAGAUUAAAUAAGGAAUUUCCUAACCACGAAAGGUGGUAUGGUCCCAAUGAAAGUGUCUCUUAGCUGGUUUACAGGCUUCGGAAAAAAAGAAGAAAAUAACAACCCACUGUCAUAACUCCAAGAGUUAAUUGCCGUAACUGCUCAGGAUGUUAUUUGUCGAGUUGACUGGUUUUAGUUCAGACAGCUGAAACAGGAUCGUAAACCGCCCCCCUUCCGUGGGGGUGGGGAUCAGACCGAUGAGGGACGUAGGAAUUUUACUUAACUGUCCGAAGGCUGAAAUUGCUUUCUCGGGACCUUUGGGAGUCGGGGUAUUUCCAUCCCAUGAUACUCAAGGAGCAAGGCGUCGUAUCCUAGGGGUUCUACUAAUACAUCGUAAAGCGGAUCCAGGUUUUGGGUUAUACCCCAGAAAGCACUAUAUCCUGCUAAAAACAGAUCCUGGAAACGGUUUUGCUAAGGAUGAAUGCACUUCUAUGUAUUUCCCAUCGCAUUUUCAUAAGGUUUCAUAUCCUUCUUUUUCAAUCUUUUAACGAUGCUUGCCAAUUCUAAUCCAGGGGGAGCACUUAGAUCGCAGAUUUUCGCAAAACGACCUCGCGUAGCCAGUUCAGGUAUAAAUUUGAAUAGGUUUACCAAAAGUUUUCCCUAUUUUGAGAAGAACUUCACUGUCGAAGUACUCAAUAGGGAGCUCAGGUAAACGGAUCCAAAGCGCAGUUUUAGUGACCGUUGCCAAGGAAGGCCUAAAAUCAGGGUGCUUCGAAAAGUGAGAUAAUGGUUUGCUAUCAUCCAAGGUCCCCAGUAAGAGCUCUUUUGUAAUCCUCCCCAUCAGUUAAGGAUGGUCGUGGCCCAGGUCAAUGAAGUCAACUCCCCACUUGGUCUCCACAUUUAAAAAUUUUCUCAUGGAUAAAUUUGUACUAAACUUCUUACCCAGAACCUUAACUAUAAGAAAGAGACUUCCUCCAUGGUUGAAAAAUUCUCCUUUUCUUUUAGUUUCCCCAUUACCAUUAAUGUUGAUCACAAGGGGACAAUUCGAAGGGCCCUGGUUAUGGAUUUGCUGCUGCUGCUCAUCUUCUUCCCACUCGUCUGAUUUAAAGCCUUCAGACUCCGGUUCCGAGAUCUCAGAUAGUAUGAGCCCUUGUGCUGUACCUGCAUGAGAAACGAACAUCACGAAAAGGACAGUGGUUGAUUACCGUCUUUCCUUUGAUCGCUUCCAUGGUCCGGGACUCUUCCAAGGUCCGGAGGUAGCUCACAAAGGUCGCCAUUAACUGUUUCAGUCGUCACAGAGGUCGCCAUUCCUUAGCCCCUCAUUGGUUGUUAGGCAUUUGUCACUUCUUCUAUUUCAUUUCCAUAGCGAUUCACUCAACAUAGAAAAGCAACUAGAGCAGAGCUCGUAUCCGGCCUAAAGCUCUUGAACUAUAGGAGGGGUCUAGCAUACUGAAACAUAAAUGUAGCUAUAAAGCCUUUUUGAGCAUCUUCCUUGCGAUCUCCUUAUCCUAUAUCAGAACACUUUUUCACUUUUUUUUGCUAUCACAAUAAAUUGCCAUAGAUCGAAAGUGAGUCCAGGCUUAGUGCUUCCGCCUAUCCGGCAGCCGUUACCAGCUGUUCACCACUCCUCCCUUCUAUGCUCCGUGGGUCCUUUGUUACUAAUUCCCUUAAACACGGAAUUGCUCCUAGUCUUUUACCCAAGAGAUGUCCCUGGAGACUCAAUAAGAAAAUUGUCUCUUUGCUUAGCUUAAGCACAAGAUUCGACAGUUGUGAUUCCGUCUUGGAUUGAGCUUUCUCACUCUUUCUAUGCCUCUUCCUGAAGUGAACGAAUACAUCUCUUUCUGACGUGAAUGAACGCCGAUUCUCUAAUAAGACCCAAUCUUAUUGAGUCAAAGUAGAAGAUUCUUGUAGAAAUUUUUUUUGAUUGACUUACUCCAGCAUCAAGGUGGAUUUAGCUUGGAUUAAUAGAGAUUAAUAGAACAGACGGGAACUAAACAGAUAGGAAUGCCCGACACAAUGCGGCUACUAGAAAAACGUAUAUUAGAUACACCAUUUCUUUGUCACGUGCAUAGCCCUGCUCCUUGUCUUUGAAAGUCCGAAGCAAUGGACACUAUAUAAUUCCUUGUCGCUCUCGUACGCACCAACCCUUGCCUUGUCUCUCGAACCCUUGCUUCUCUCUUGUGCUCCCUAGAGCUAAGUAAGCAAUUCUCUCUCUUCUCUAGCCGUGGCCGCUAGGAAUUGCUUUCGCUCUCUCUCUCUGGGGUGCUGGUGGUCGAUAGUUGUAUGUAAUGUUGAGGAAAGAGAUUCGGAUGAAAGAGGUACGACGGGAUAUUCCUCCCCGGUUCGGAACUAAACGUUGAGCGGCGGAUCAAGUAAAAGCUGGCAAUCCUCCACCUAACAACUCCUCCUUUACAGUAUCAGCUGUUAAUAGGCUCUAAUAGACAACCAACCCCAUCUAUUCUUGAUAAACCGGGGCACCUUUCCUAUGUGUCAGUGCCAUUUUUCUCUAAGGCUUAAAGUGAAUCUGUCAUAGCUUGUUGCCAGCAGAGCUGGCCCACGGCUUCCCGAAAAGGUUUGAGGUUCCCGCAUGAACACUGGCAAGAAAGGCACGAUCUUUGGGAGAAAACGAGUUAUAGGAUCCAUAGGAUUUUUCAUGCGAGAAGACCUACGUACCUCAGUAGAGGGUAGAUAGGAUCUGGAGACAAGGAAGAUGAUGUAGAGGUAGUAGGUUGGCCAGCCUGAUCCAUCUCAGAUGCCUUGCACUUUUUUAGCGCCUAGUGUAAACCGGAGUGGCAGGUCGGCUAGAAGGAGACGGCCUCAGUGGGACCAGAUGAAGAAAGCUCCCCUUACUAGUAAAGGGGUCCGAGGUUCAGGAUAUGAAAUAGAGCAACUUGACGUAACAGAAAAAAGCGUAAACCGAGUUGAAUCAUAAAAUCGAGUUUCAUCCCCAACUGAGGAAAUGUAAUUGUUAAGGUCGGUAACCUGUGGCUACCUCAGGACUAUCUGACUACACUACUUGCGUUAAGGCGCUGAAGCCGGAGUUUGCUUGGUAGGGGUUAGCUUAUUCCCAGACGAACCAGCCCAGUAAGAGAGAUUCCCCCAGACACCAAUACCUGCGGGAACUAGUAGCCACACUACGGCGUAUGAGAAAUUCCCUGACGGCUUCCCUUAACCGUAGGCCACAGUUGCUUCCUUCGCUCUUGAAUCUAAAACCAUAUCUGGUUCGCCUCCCCUUGGAGCGACCCUUCCGAAACAGCAUUCUAGCAACUUCGUUUUCAUCCAGCGUUCUCACCAAACCAGUGAGCCGUCACAGAGUCUCCCGCUAACUCAAUGCCAAACCCUUAUGAAGGUAUCCGACUUUUUCCAAUUCUUUGUGACUUCAUCAGUCUAGCAAUAGCAGCAUGCCAGUAUUUUGCCCUAACUAACGAAGCUUGAGUCCUGUCUUCGCCCGUGAAACGCAACAGGACGCGGUUCGUCUAACUCGACUUCCGCAGCGAGUCUCAUUGCAGCUCUCUCCUGCAGUAGUGAAUUUUUUUUUAUUUUACUUUCAAAGAUUUUUUUCUCACAAGAUGCUUGUUUUGCAGAGGGGUGAAAGUUUUGAAGAAAUAGAAGAAGAAAGAAAGAGUAGUAGCCAUGAUCGAUUUUCCUCUGCGCAGGAGCUUGGGAUUUGAGAGUAAGCAUGACUCUGAGAAGAUCUCUGAUUGUGAUCAAUUGGGUCUCACUCAAAUCUUGGUAAUAACGAAUGACUUGCUUGAUUUCUCUGCAUCGGCUCGUGAAAUCUUGGAUGAUCUUAUCAAGUUCAAUUGAACUAAGAAUGUCGAUUGCUCUGUCGUAAUAGUUUGUGGUCACUCCAAAGCUUCCAUGGCGGAAUCAGUACCCCCCUCCACUGAACUACGGAUGCCUGUACGCAACCCCAUGAAGCAACCGAAGAUCCAUUGAUCGCUUUUCGACACCCGUAAUUUUCCUGUAAAAGAAGAAAAUCCCGGAAACUCAGAUUCUUCAUUGUUGAAAAAUCUUAUAAAAAUAAGUAAUUUAGGAAUUUUCAUUACUGGGAACACGUCGCUAGCCUAAGGCGGGCUUCGCUAUCCCCCGAAGCUGGUAUUUUCCAAUGUAAUGGUUUUUGACCACUCACUUAUAUGAGUACAAGGGGCUUGACUAUAUUUUUUUACUUUAUGUAAUUAAGUUUAGCUGGAGGGUCCAUCUAGCCACCCUAAUUAACCCGGUUGAGGAUAACACAUUAUUAAAUCCGAAUGAUGAUUUCAUAAUCAAUCAUAGAGGUGUGAAAUGGCGUCUUUUCAGAAGUCAGAUAGCCCUUGAAGGUGUUAGCGCACACCCUUUUUCUAUCAUAUAAAUUUAGCUCCGAAGGCAACCCGUCGCGUCCUCGUCACGGCGUUAGCAGCCAUUGACGAUUAUUGAAGACGUAAGCUAGUUGGCCUAGAAUGGAGCGCAUACUACUUCUUUGAAAUCGCGAACAUCUUACUCUUACCUUUCUUCUUAGUCUGAUCCGGGCACUCAAGACCUCGGUUCUUGGCUUUGAUCCAAUUCUGAAGCUCGUUUUCUCACUCGCCGAUGUCAUUUUUUAAAUUCACUUAGUUAGAAAAAUGAUGGGGAUAGCGUACCGUCUUAAACAAGCGCCAGGAAAAUGGAACCGCGCUGAAUUACGUCGUAGGCAAAGCUUUUGAUUCGACAAAUGGUUGCUGCUCCCACUUUUGAAAUUGUUGGCUCGUGUUUUUAUUUUUUAGGGUCAGCAGGUCAGGCCGGGGCCUGCGGUUCUAAUGAUUCCGUAGAUACAGAAAGAGUCAGUCUCGGCUUUAGAUAUUUUCUUAAAUAUAUAUAUACUAUAUAAAAUACAACUUUAGGCUUUGCUUUGUGCAUUAAGUAGGACUCAUAUGAUUCGUCUUCCUCGACUUCGGUUUUGUCUCUUAGUUUGAAUACCCCAGUUAACUCGAUUGGUCAGGUCUUCCUUCCUUUUAUGUGAAUUCGUAGAGUAGCAGAGACCCUUAUAUACGAAUGUUAAACACGUAAACCAUGGUCCCUCGAAUAUCCAUCAUCAGCCAACCCCCUUUCCUGGUUUUUGUUCCAACUAGCAGUAAGCUCUGCUCUCUCUCUUCUGUAAUAAUAAGGGAAUUGGCUCGUCAGCAAGAUGAAUUCGCUAUCCCUGGCCCACUUAAAUAAGGCUGAGAAACUAACUUCCUACUUACUCCAAUUGCGAUAUAAACUUCCAACUGAGAAAGCAACCCUCCUUCAUGUCUAACCGAGAACUGGUAAUCGAGAGGGUCUUUCUUCCCUUCCCCGACUGUCUGAAAGGGGAGGCAGCAGAGCGUAAUCAGGUCUCGAUUACCCAAAUCAUAGUCCCGUCUGUCCUUUAGUUUGACUAUGGGAUGCUGGACAAAGUGGGUGCGCGAUUGGAUCCGAAUCUAUAAGUCAUAAGAAAGCCUGUUCAAGCCGGGAAGGUGGGCGAAGAAGUUUCAUCUCAAUCCGGCUCAUUAGUUAGAGAUUGUGGAAGGUCUCAUGGGCAAUGCAAUAAAAUAAGCCGAUUCCAUCCCAAUCUCUGUUCCCGACUCAAUCCUGCUAGUUUGAUACCUCACUGCUUCUAAUCUCUCUGUCUCACAGGCCUAUGACAGGCAAGACUAAACAAACCUUCAUUCACUCGGCUCGGUCAAUCCAUUCGUGAGCCAAUUAAGUGUUUUUUCCCUCAGGUACGACAAGUCCAUUCAAUGAUCAUUUCUUCCCAUUCCAAUAGGCCCCGACAUGAGAAUUUCAAUAGGGAAGGUGACGGCAGUGAAUGAGAAAGAUCGAAUCUCAGGCUAGGUUGUAAGCGUAAGCUAAGUUUCUCAUUUGAUCACUUGUUUGAGGCGGGUGUACCAUCCCAUCGGUCAAAGACAUGAGAAUAAUCAGCAUGAAAAUUGGCGCUUUAACGACAUUCGAAUAGAACGACUUUGUUGCUUCACUUAAGGCCGGUUUAAAGUUUUAAAGCAGGGGCGUAGGCACGGGAUGCUAGCUUCAGGUUGCUUUUCCUUCGCACAGAAGAAGAAGUUCCAUCCUCCUCUCUCCGCUCCAGCCAGUGAUCCACUUCGAAUAGAACGCCAAUGUUGUGCGCUAGGUUUCAAGGUCAGAUAGGGCUUUGAAGAUAGGGGUUGGCAGAAGAAGUAAAGGUUGCUUCCCGAUCUCCUAUGUAACCGCCUGCGGAACAGAACUAUGUCUACAAUUUUAUGAGGGAAGCCCUCCUCUACAAUAAAAAGAGAGAAAUAACGAAAGGGUAGAUCGAAAGUGAAAGUAAAGAGGGAGAAGAGCUAUAUAAGAAAACCUGUCCUCGUGACUUUCUGCUUUUAUUAUGAGAAUUCUGGUUAACUUGAUGAGAGAAAGACCAGUCAUAAGAAAUCCAACCAAAAAACCAUGGAUUCGAUAUCCUGCUAUACUCAGGAAGGUGCAUUCCUGACUAAACCAUUAGGAACAUAAAGAUGCAGAAAAGCGCAACUACAUGAAGUUGAAUUUCCUCUUCAUCUACCUUAAGGUUAAGGAGGUGGUUUAUACUUUCAACUAAAUAUAAAUAGAAUGCAUACCAUUAAAAGAAUGGAAUGUAUCCCUUAUUUUCAUUUUCAUUUUUGAAUCUACCUUGGGAACAGAAGAAUGAGCUCGCUUUGGCUCAGACAACCAUAUCCGUACUGGCCGGGAAGAAGGGUGCUUUACCCGUUGUCUCUAACUAAAGUGGUCUAUAUAACUUGGGGACUCCCCGAACUAUCUAACCGAUCUCCUCUCCGUAAACAGACAGGGGAACAGACUAUGAAUCAGGGGAUGCGCUUGAUAGAUGGGCUUGGCUUGGUCUGACUUCACCGUCAAGAGAGGAAAGAGGAGGGAUCACCAGCUCGCAAGAAAGUCACAUGUAGGCCCGGAGCACUUAAAGAUGGUAUUUGGACACCUUUUCUUGAGAACGUGUCUCCUAAGCACAGAGUACUCUAUUAAAUCAAAGGGGAAGGAGAAGGAUAGUGAUUCAACCGGGUGUAUCACCCCAAAUCCAAGGGAAGGGGAGCGAUCUUCAUUGAUUCUACAAGAAAGAGUAGUCCCGCUUUCGAUGAGCAUAAUGAUCCAGGAGAGGUAGAAGCUAUGGCCUAUGCUUUUUAACCUGCCUCGAAGCGAGCGGUUGUCCCUAAUCGUUUUGAUUCGAACAGCAGGAAGAGAUGCUAUCUUUUAUAGAUAAUAAAAUAAGACCACCAAGCCCCUUCCUUUAGUGACUGCAGGCAGCCGCCUCCCUUCAAAACUUGGAUUGCUGGUUUUGUAUGUCUCCUGAUUGGCUCUCCAAGAAGAUGGGUGUCUAUUUUUCUUUCUAUUUGAAUGAGCCAACCAGCUCUUUCUGAGUAGUUCAAGUGCUCUACUCGCGGAUCAAGAGAGGUUACCGCCUAUUGUCUAUAGUUCCACAGCCCUUUAUCUAUUAGUCAUUGAUCUUCCAGAAGCGGAAAGCGAGGGUGACAUGAUUCCCGAACCAGAGCGAGGGUGACAGGGCGAGCUUACGUGGGUGAAGAAUCGAUUGGUUAUAAGCCUCAUUUCCCUAAAGUGAGUUCACACCUAAAAUCCCGGGGUGGAGCUUGAAGAUGGUUAUGCUCACUUCUUUUUGUCUUAAAUAAGAUCUAUUUCCAAGCCUUGAAACCCUGGAAUGAGCAUCGCUUUCGAAUGAUUAAAGCAAGCUUAGAUCUUUUAUUUCUAUCUCUGGCGAUUGAGUAGCCGGAUUCCUUUUAGGCCUAGGUCGAUCGAGAGCAUAUGCAAUUCAAAAUUUCUAUUCAUAGCACCCCCUUCCCUUCCCCUUUUUUAGUAAAAGAACUGAGUCAGUAAACUACUUACCUCCGCGUGCUGGUGAACCCAUUCCAUAAAGGAAGUGACUGGGCUAAUGCAAAAAGAGGAGAAAGCUCAAUAGAUACCUCUAGUGAUGCUUCAGCCUUCGUCUUUGCUGCUCCUGCUAGGUAUAAACAACAAAGGCGAUGCAUCCAGGAUAACAUCUUGCUUUGUCACGAUAUGCUAAAAAAAUUCCACCUUCCGCAAGGGAAAGCCAGGAUGUGUGUGCAAAUUUACCUGAGGAAAGCGUUCGACAGUGUUGACUGGGGAUUCCGGGAAGCUGCCAUGCUGGCUAUGUGAUUCCCUCAGAAGUGGAUCGAAUGGAUAAGGGUCUGCAUUACUAACCUAAAAUAUUCCAUUGUUAUCAAUUACCCUCCACGGCAGUAGUAGAGGUCUCAGGCAAGGCAACCCCGUGCUCAUGAACAUUUAUCAACUAGAUAUUCGAAUCAAUUCCUUUUGAAUAAGGAGGGAAUGCAAGAAGGGAUCCUUGCAACUUUGUAAGGAAGUAAGAAGCAUAUCAAAGUAAAAAUGGUAGUUAUACCGGGUAUGGCAAAGCCAGAAAAUUGCUUUUUGACCAAUCCGCUUCAGCUGACCUCUGGUGGAGGAACCGAACCAACAUGGAAUUAAACCUUUUCGAGCAUGAUGAGCAGAAGGCAAGGGAAAAAAAACCAGCUUUCACUGGAAAAUUCUCAUUCGAUGUCUCAUCCAUCCCUACUUGGGAAUUUGAUAGAUGAAUAGGGCUCUACUCCGCCAAAGAAAGCAAGAAAAAUAGAAAAAGUCGAGCAAGAGACUCUCGCCCUAUUUUAAGAUGAGAGUAGCGAUCACUUACCUGAUCUACGACCUACUAUCUACGCGUACCAGCCUUCCUUUGUUUUGCAUCACGAGAUGGACUCUUCGCCCAUCCCCUAAGGUCUUUCAAAUUAUACCUAAUUGGGGAGAGGACCCACCAGGAGUCCAACUCCAGAUUGGUGGCUAAUGGGCCUCGCGUAUCCUGCCUUUUCGUAGAAUGCAACGCUUAUACGUUCACUGAGGAAUGAAAUCCUAUCUUUUAUCCGAGCUAGGGAUCAGAAAGCAAGAAGGUGGGGGUCAGAAAUGAGUAGCGUAGGUGAUACCGAUAGGGUGGUUGGAUACGCGACAGCAACGGCAAGGCACUCUUGACCCCGUCCGUAGAGGGUCGGUACGAAUGAGACUGUGCUAGAGAUCGCAGUGAGCAAGUAUGCCUUGUUGACUGGGUGUUGGUUUUGAAACAAGGAUGAGUCCCUCAGGGAGUCCGUCCAAGCUUCAGCUACUAAUGCCUGGGCUAACUUCUUGGGGGUGAACAAAGUGCUCUGAGUCUGAGAUCGAUACUGGUUAACGCCACAAGUGCUCUGCCAUUGGUCUACACACAGAGUCAUCAGGUAAAGUCAGAGCUUGGACUGGGAAUGAGAUCAGAAGAGGCUAGGCUACUAGGGAAGAUAGAAGCGAUCCACAAAUCAAACCACUAUCCCAUUGGCCGCUUCAUGCGCCGAACACUCUUAAUAAGAAGCUUUAUUUUAUAAGGUAUGUGCCUAUGCUCUCGAUACACGGCUUGAGAAGGCGGCUCCUUUUUAUUCUUCCUAUAGGAGCUACUCCUGAUUCAGUCAAUCAGAACAAGCCUUCGGACCCACCAACCAAUCAAACUAGCUUGAUGCGGAGGCAAAUACCCAGGGAUACUAUAGCUCAACACACGCCUGGCCGGGGGGAAGGAAGCCCUCGAAGCGAGCUCCGUACCAAAUAGCUGUGAGAGAGAGAAGCCAAACUCUACCGCACUGAAGAGCGAGAUAAAUAACUGACAUCCUUGGUUGAUGAUCCUCGUCGGUGGAAGGGAAAGCGCGAUGAAAGGCAAGUCGUAGUAGGUCCAAUGGAGAGAGGAAUUGAGAAAGAGAUAGGGUCCGCUUUCUAGGCUGACGUUGGACAGCUGUUGGAUAGCCCCGACCUACACAAGUGGUUUUAGAAUGAACUCACAUUUUGAAAUGUUCUGUUAGGUUCUUAGUAGCAGUCGGCGAUCUUUUCUUCUUUUACUUCACAUAGCUUUUCGUCUCCUUGAUAGCUGGAAGUUCUCCAAAAGUAUGAAAAGCUGGAGGACUUUGUACCAUCCAUUCCGGUGUGGUUGGAUUCUGUUCAACAGCCCAAGGACUUGGAGCACAUCUUUUGUUAUUUCCACUGCUUGAAGUGAUUGUUACGACCACGAAGAAACGACGAAUCCCAACUACGGAUAUAUAAGAGCCAAAACGGCAUUCCAUCCAGCGUAAGCAUCUGGAUAAUCUGGAAUGCGACGUGGCAUACCCGAAAGCCCUAAGAAAUGCAUGGGAAAGAAGGUCAGAUUAACCCCGAAAAAAGUGAUCCAAAAAUGGAUUUGCCCUAAAGUUUCAGGGUAUGUCCGACCAAAGAUUUUACCCACCCAAUAGUGAAAUCCUGCAAAUAAAGCAAAAACGGCUCCCAUAGAAAGUACAUAAUGGAAAUGUGCAACCACAUAAUAAGUAUCAUGUAGAGCAAUGUCUAGCCCAGAAUUUGCCGGGACUAUUCCAGUGAGUCCUCCUAUAGUGAACAAAAAGAUGAACCCUACAGCAAAUAACAUGGGUGUUUUGUAUUGUAUCGAACCCCCCCACAUGGUAGCGAUCCAACUAAAGAUUUUGAUUCCAGUGGGGACAGCUAUGAUCAUGGUAGCUGCGGUGAAGUAGGCACGGGUAUCAACGUCUAAGCCCACAGUAAACAUAUGAUGAGCCCAAACAAGAAAUCCAAGAACACCUAUACUGAUCAUGGCAUAAACCAUGCCUAGAUACCCGAAGACCGGUUUUCCCGAAAAAGUCGAAACGAUAUGACUUAUGAUACGGAUCCAGGCAGAAUGGGAAUAUACACCUCUGGAUGACCGAAAAACCAAAAGAGAUGCUGGUAUAAUAUGGGGUCUCCCCCUCCAGCGGGAUCAGAAAAGGUUGUAUUAAAGUUUCGAUCGGUUAAUAACAUGGUAAUUGCCCCCGCCAGUACCGGAAGUGAUAAUAAAAGUGGGAAUGCUGUCACUAGAACGGACCACACAAAUAGGGGUGAUCUAUGCAUAGUCAUUCCAGGUCCACGCAUGUUGGAGAUUGUUGUUAUAAAAUUGAUAGAACCUAAAAUGGAUGAAACACCAGAUAGAUGAAGACUAGAAAUUGCUGAAUCAACUGCUCCUCCAGAAUGGCUGGUAAUACCACUUAAGGGCGGAUAGACCGUCCACCCAGUGCCGCUACCCACUUCUACUAAGGCUGAGCUUAAUAGGAGCAAGAGACUUGGUGGCAACAACCAGAAUGAAAUAUUAUUUAAUCGUGGAAAUGCCAUGUCAGGUGCACCUAUCAGAAUCGGAACAGACCAAUUACCAGAUCCACCUAUCAUCGCCGGCAUAACCAUAAAAAAGAUCAUUAAAAAAGCGUGAGCCGUUAUUAAAACAUUAUAAAGUUGAUGAUUCCCACCAAGAAUUUGAUCGCCGGGACGUGCUAAUUCCAUACGAAUCAGUACUGAGAAGCAUGUGCCCAUCACUCCAGCAAUGGCACCGAAGAUGAAAUAGAGAGUCCCUAUAUCCUUGUGGUUAGUGGAGAACAGCCAUCGAACCGGAUUUGUCAUAAAAUUGAGAUUCUUUCGUUUCCUUCCUUAUCAGAGAGGGGCCCCUUAGGGAGCGGGGCUUCUUUAUUGAAAAAGGGGGAGUGAGGGGGGAAGGAGCGAAGCGAAAGCGGGGGUCCGGAAAGCCCUUACUUUAUUGAUGGGACAUUUUGAUCCCCUUUUCCUCUCACCCCCCGUUCUGGUUCAGGAUUCAGGAAAGGGUCAACGCAAGGAUCUUACUUCGAAGCAAUCUCUGGAGUUUUCCCUUAUCCGAACGGGUCUUGCAAGAAAAUAGGAUUUCAUAUUGAGCUCCAAAUAUACGCUAUUGGGAUAGGAUGGCUCCUACUAUAUCUCCCCCCCCCUAAGAACCGCACGUGCGAGUUCCCCCGCAUACGGCUCAAGUGGCGAAGGCACUUUCCUUCGCGCUUGAUAAGCGCUUCGCUGUAGCCAAGCUUACUGCUAGCCUAUCGGCUAGAGCCAAGCUUCGACCGCGACUGCUCGUCGCUUCUGGCCGCCUUAUUCCGUCACCCGAGAUCCAAGUCAGCACCGGAAAAAAGAUCUUGAUUCCUCGCGGCCGGGCCGGCUUGGAAGCAAGCUACUUGUCGCCUAUCUCACCCCCUUUCUUAUUAUUAGUAAGAUAGGGUGCCCCUUUCUCUAAUAAUAAGGUAAGCUUCCCUGAAUUCCGCUGGGUGAGCCUUCGCUUUUUGGAUCGUCUUCUGCCCAAUGCGGUACCCUCCCGUUUGUUUUUAGGUUCCCAUUGGGUUUACCUUGUUUACAGGUCGAUCCCAUGGCAGCAAGAAAAGGUGAUCUUGUGCUAUACUCCGGUGAUCUCUUUCCUACCGAGGCACGCAAACUCCCAUCGUGUCCCAGAUCACAUUUCGUGAAUCGAAAGGGGAAGCCUCCUCAUCCAUCAGCUCCUCUCGUAGAUCAGUGCGGUUUUACGAAGCGUCUAAGCACAGUUCACUCGCGUUGAUCAAUCAAGAGCUUUGCCGCCACUCCUUAAGGUUACCUGUUGUAUCAUACACUUCUUGCAUUCUUUCCCACGCUUCAUACCCCCCUCUAGCUUCCCCACGGAGCGGUAAGGUAAAGGGCCAGGCAUGGUGGGGUAGGAGCAUCCUGUCAGCAAUCUUUUUGGCUUGACCAAGAAGUCUUAUGUCCUCCGAGUCGCGCGGCGUUUUAACCGAAAGAACUUCUUGCGCAAUUCAUGCCUUUCUGUUUUUAUGACCAGAAAUUUUUUCUUGAUUUCCAUUUCAAAUUGUUCUCUGGACUUUUUAUCAAUAUGAGGUGAUCGUAACACAGUAUAUAAGACUCGUGAUUCAGGCAAUCCAAUCUUUCGUGUGUAAGGCGGAAGCGCCUGGUUUUCCAAAAAUGGGUGAUCAAAAGAUCGAAUCACUAUGCGUAUCUUGGUGGUCGUUACUUUUUGGUGGUCUUUCUUUUCUUUUUGGCUGACUCCUCCUACUCCUCCUUCUCUUAUCCUCUAUAUAGCUCGUCGUUGGUCCUUUUUUUUUACAUAACAUUCUCAGCCGCUCAAGAGUCAAGAGACUGACUAUCUCUCUCUUUACGCAAUUUCAAAAAUGAAGUAGCAGAGUGACUACUGAUUUUGGACGCGCUGAGUUAUUUAAGCAAAGCCUUUUUUGAUCUUGUUAUUCUAAAUUAUUUUAUUGUCUUUGCUCAACUUCGUCGAGCCUUGUACCCAGGUACACGGAACACUAACAGAAUCUCUGUUCAAACAAAAACGACAAGCAAACCCGAAAACUAAAGGGUCACCUUCUCUAGCAAGCAAGUAGACUUUCUCUGAGCCCCAGGGUAGCAAAGCUAGCUCUUCGUAUCAUUGGCAUUGGGCAGGUGAACGGGAACCUGGCUACACAACUACUCUUACUCUAGCAGAGGAUCUAGUUCCACACCAAUCUGCUUAUCUUAUAUAAGAUAAAAUAUAUAAACUUAGCGUACCUACAACCGCUUGUGCCCUUGCUUUAGCUACUUACUCGGGAACUAGCUUCGCACCUCACCCCGGGAACUCAAGGGUGCGUAGCUUGCUUGUUAAAGGGGUGUUUCCGUUCCUCCGUUGUGGGAUAGUUUUUCCCUAGUUCGGUCCUAUAAGAAGAGUUCUCUAGACAUCAACUCAUGGUACUCCCCGGGCCCCUAACAACAAAACUCCUAGGUUAGCUACAGCAGUUCUAGCAUCAGCUUCUCGAGGGCCUAAAAGAACCUCUUUCGUCAUUCGAAAGUGGCAUUUUAGCUCCUUUUCGUGAAACAGAUCGGAGAUCAGGUCUUAUCGAUUCAUACGAUUUUCAUACGUCUUUUUCCCACAUUAAUAAACCCCUUUUUUCUUUAACAUGCUAGUGCCCAGAUCUUCUUCUUUUGUCUUUUGCCUGCCUUUAGGUAGCGGCAUGGAAGUCCCCCUUCUUCUCAAGCAGGAAAGCCCGCGUAUUCUUAUUCUAAUGUCCAUUGGAGCUUCUCUUUUCUUCCCGCUAUCUGGCUGUUCUAUUUAGACGUCUGUUCCCCAGUCUUACUUUCUCAUGCCCGCUUUCGCUUCGCUCCUUUCUACUUCUGUUACAGUAGCUAUAGUUGUAAUGGCGGUUAUGCAGGUCCCCUUCUCAUUGAGUAGCCUAUACUCUGGAAUUGAAGUAGCGAAAUCGGCCUUAGCAUAGAACGUUUACCGCUUGCCUUACUAUUACUAAUAAUCGGGAAUCAGAACAGGCAACUAUGAGACUAAUUUAUCAUUGCCCCGAGCAAGUUACUGCGUACCUGAAGUGAGUGUGCCCAUCUUGGUCUCCUUUCUUUUUUCUUUGCAGCUGCCAUAAAGUAAAGCCUUAGAUUCUAACAGGAAUCUCACCGCCUGCUCCCCUUAUAAUUAUAAGAUACUCGCUACUAAGGUUCUGAAAGAAGGCAGCUAAAUCAGCAAUAGAAGAGAACUCCAGAUCUAUGAAUAGCCAACAAAGAGCCUAGCUUUAUUACUGGAACUAAACAGCAAGCUGCUCCUACCUUACUUAUCGAGAAGGAGUACUUGGACUGAGUAGACUUCUUGUAGUUCUCUUUCCCCUAGCAACCUUUCCUGCUUUCCCGGUUGCAAGGUUUCGAGCUAACUACAGGAUUUGCUUCCUAGCUAAUAAUACUAAUUAGUAGUAUUGAACUUCGAACUAAAGAUUUUUUUAGUUAACGGGCGGGUAAGGGCAAUGAAGGAAGCCGUUAGGCUUGAGACGAAACGGAUUCUAUGGAUUGAGUCUGGCAGUGAUGUUAGUUAAGUCCACUACCUGGGGCUUGUCUUGCUUGAGAACCCGUUUGGAACAAUCUGGAUUUUCCCCUUGUGAGUCACUCGAAUUCUUCUAUUUAUCAUUCUUUCAUGAAUAGAAAGAGAAAGAUCUCCGCUUCGUCUUUCUUCCAAAAAAGAUCCCAAGCCAUUGAUAUUGGUCAUGCGUGGGCUUUCACUCAAUCUUUCACUAUGAUAUGAAAGGCAAGCAGGAAUUUCACCACUAAUGGGCCAGCGCUUGGCGCUUACUCUAGCCCGUGUUUCUAGGAUACACCUAUUAAUUAUAUAUAAUAGUUUCCCCGAUAUUCGUGGCUUUCCCCUUACUUAUUACUUAUAAGUAGAUCGGUUGAGAUAAGUAGAUUGGUUGAGGCCCGACCCUUUCCUUUGGGGUUGCCGACCUUGAUGCCAUAGUGUUUAGGGGGCUGAGCGGGAAACCAACACGUUGUGGAAACGGAAUAGAGCUUUUCCCUUGAUGGAUGUUAUCCAAUAAAAGCACACAAUCAGUGAGAUGAGCCUGCCAGCUCAGCCUUGGCCCUAUGCCUUUUGGCCAGCUUGACUUCUGACCGGUCGAUCCCGCCCCCUCUUGCAACGAUUCGGCGCCUCCACUUGAUGCUUGACGCCCACGCUUCGUUCAGGCAGCGCUCCUCGGAUAUGUCUUGCCAAUCGCCAGAGCNAGUCCUCCGUCGCGGGUUUUGGUAUACACCCCUCAACCCUUAUUAACUAUAUUUACUAUUGUAAGGUAAGGAAAUCAUCUCAGUUAACAGCGCAUAUGCGACAGCGCAUCAUAGACAUCAUUUCUUAUACCAAAAUUGCUUAUAGUAAGCAAAGCAAGGAAUCUGAAUUCUAUCUGACUAGUGUCUCUCAUUAAGCUAUAUAGGUUUUGAAAAGCCAGCGCCCAAAGAGCUUUCAACCUUAGGGUCAAGCCGGUCUCCGUCUAGCAGAGUAGAAACCGAUCGAUCACUUGAGGACGCGCUAAGAACCUUUUCUCGCUUGUGAAGCCGCCUAUAAAAAAUAGAUAUCUAGAAAGUGUGCCAUGAGUGAGGAUAUCGAGAUUGGGUUCGUUUUUAGUCUUAGUAUGAGAUGCCCAAGAUAAAAGAACGAGGAGAAGAAUCGACAAGGAAAUGUUCUUUCAAACAAAAAAUUCCCCAAAUCCCAUUUCUUUCUCGGUUGGAAAACCCAACCGGCUAUUUCCGGCUUCCUUGAGAAGGUUUGAAGCGGAGUGCAUUUCUUCACCAUGAGGUUUAGUUUAGGAAGUGGUGGCUCAGGUUUUUCGGCUGUAAUGGAUGAGACUGCUCUUCUCACUAGCCACGGGUCAUGCGAGAACAAAGAAAGAAGGGACGAUUCGCGAGUGAGGCGGGGAAUAAUCCAUAGAAAGGCAUCAAAGGAAUGAAAGGGCAGACAACCAUCCUGGCCUGGUUGAGAUCGAGGUUGAUGAUUAAAGAGCAGCAAACAGAAGAAGCGGUUUGAGGAGAAGUAUCAUCAUCAGCCAAUGGAGAGUCAGCCGAAAAGGAAUCUUCCUUUGAAAGGGGUUAUCGGUAGGGAAGGCAUUCCAUUCAAAAUCAGCCGAGUCAGGGAUAUAGGGCAUCCGAAUACGUUGAAUCACCCGCCAAACGCCAAAUCAGCAUACGCAUAGGAGCAAGAACACGGAUGCAUUCCACAGUGUAGGUAGCCGUUCUCAGUCCACAGAUCCGGGUUAGCAGUCAUCGAGUGCAGUCAAGAGUGAAGAAAGACAUGUCAUUAAAAGAGAGAUUGGUUUAUGAGUUCAGGACGUGGCCCUCGGGUGAGGUUUUCGACUGAACGGAUCUAACAACCGCUGCCACCCCUCAAUGUUGUGGAACCGCCCUUUUCUUUUGGUCCUUCUUAUGAUCCUUUUCAUUUCUCUGGGUGGGUUAUAUCCUAAUUUUCCGUACCUGAACCUCUAACAAGGUAUCAAAGAUGUUCACAAUAGAGAGAGGUGCGCAAACCUUCAAAUAUUGCAUAUUCCCUCACUCAGUUAAUAAACUAACUGCCUCACUCCAGAACUCGAGCAAGAACUUUCACCUCAUUUGCAAGUGGAAUUGAACAAAACGGACUAAAAGCAACCUUCGCCAUCGCGGAUAGGUCCUGUCCUCCCUUACCGCUCCGUGGGGAAGCAGAGCUACAAGGGUCCGAAGUAAGAAAUUACCUUAACUAAAGCAUUGAACUCAACUUCGUCGACCCUCUUUCUUUUUCUGAAUCCCGUAGUGAGGGGAAGAGAAAGCUAUUUAUUACCUUUGAUUCCUUCUUGCUGGUCCUCCUUCUAGUCUAGUGGGAUGGAAGCGAGGAUCUGAAGAAUCAGACUAUGAUCUCACGAACCUGUCUGACUGCGAGUUAGUCUAAGGCCGGACGGGACCGGCAUGGAAGACUUCUUUUCCAGAAAACAAGGCAAGUAAUGCAAGACAAGCCCAGAUCAAACGGAAUCCCAAAGCACAUGAGGAUAUGGGACUUUGCCGGGUAUUCCUUCUCUUGAUAGCGGAAUCUAAUUAAUAGAAUUUUUGCUUCUUGUUCACUCUCUCACUAUCUGAACUUGAAGGUUAAGUUUGUGUUCCGUGUAUCCAACGAAUGGGACAGGUAAUAUGGAAUAUUCUGUAGAAUCCUAAGUUUGUAUCAAGAAAGCUAUUCUCCGGUCUAGGAGUUCAGGGUAGAGAGGAGGAUGUUGGUGAAGGGCCGAGCAGGAACAGUUUGUUUGACAAUGAAUUGAAUCCCAUCCUUUCUGAGCGGAAAAGCAGACACGUCUACACAAUUAGUGGCUUGUUGAGCCCUAGAUUUCAGGAAGGUACUGCCCUCUUAGGUAGGAUCCGGUACAUUAGGGAAACCCUUUCUAGUCAUCACUCCAUUCAUUCACUAGAAUAGUCCUCGUCGAGUAGAAAGAAACCACUGCCUUACCUGGAAAUAGACUGAAGUAGAUCUCUCCUUGAUUGAAGGACACCGCCAGUGGAAUCUAAAUCUCCCUCGGUUUGCCAUAUAGGACAGCAGCCCAGAAAAUGCUUCCAUAACCAAAACAAAGAUGUAUGGCGACAUAGGGUCGCCCUGUCUCAACCCUCUCUCCCCAGGAAAGAAACCAUUCAGCUCCCCAUUAAUGCUUAUAUAGAACCGAGGAGUGGAGAUGCAUUCCCUGAUCCAUUGCACUACCCUCUCCGGAAAGCCCAGGAUGUUCAGGACUACGCCUACAAAGUCCCAUCUAACUGUGUCGUAGGCCUUCAUCAAAUUCACUUUGAGGGCGCAACUGUGCACUUAUUCCUGUGAUAAUUUCGAAGGAGCUUCUGGGCAUACCCCUUCUUUGCUACAAGUCGAGCCUUAUGCCUUUAAAUCGACCCAUCAGCUAGAUACUUUAUACACCCGAGCGAGUGACUAAACGAGACUCCAUCCAAACCUCAACCAACCGCUUGUUUACCUGCAGGCAACUCAAGGACGAUCCCAAGUAUCAUUUUUCUUUCUCUUUCUUUUUAAGGGAAGGGUAUUUUAAAAAGAAUUUACCAAAGAAAUACAUCUUAUCAACCGGGUGACCGAUUCCCUUUCGUCUCUGCAAACAUGGGCGGUGAGAGGGAAGGAUAAGAAUUGGUUCACCCGGUUGGACCAUCCCCAUGAUACGGAAUCUGCUUUUCUUCUUCGAAUUAGCCUCAAAGGGAGCUCAGAAGACCCCGUCUAUUGUGGUUUAUACAUAUAUUAUAUAACCUAUGGCUGGCCGGCCUUCUGUUUCGAAGAAUGGAAUCUUAGUUAAAAGAAGCAUGUCGGCAUCAGCUGAGGAAAGGGUUGGCUGGGGUGGGGAAGAUGCCUCAAGAAACCAUUUAACAUUCUUCGAGUAUUUCGAAGAGCAUUUUCUACAUUUUGUAUUUCAACGUUAAUUUCAGCAAGUCGCUGGGCCAUGGCUUCUCGAUAUACACUGGUAGAAAACUCUUUUCUUUUUUUUUAUAAGUGCAGUCCUUCUGUGUGUAGAACAUUGGCUCUAGCGUCCAAUGGGUGCACCUGAUCCAGUUCAGUUGGAACAGUCACCUGCUUUCAUUGGCGGGGAGCUGACUGAAGUCUCCCUAGUUGACGACAAUGGUCAACCUGUCACGACCGUAGUGGGUCAAAUAGAAAUAGCCUUAUAUGUUAUGUUCUUCUAUUUGUUUCUUAUUCCUUUAGAAAAGAUCCUAUGGAUAAGACACCCGUAUUUAGGUAUCGGCCGUACCUACCUCCGCCGCGGCGGUGUGCGCGAGAAAAGGGCGCGCUAGUAUACAUGAAGUAGGCGUAGUAAACAGCUACAAAGACGGUCCACCUUUUCGUAGAGGAAGACUAUAACUAUAGAAGAAAGACUGGUUCUAUCACGUAGUUCAUGGCCCCCAUGGGGAAUGAGAACAGAGACAUAGCAUCUUCUUUCUUACAGCGCCCGAAGGAUACCGGACUACGACCCGACAUAAAUGCCAGUGGGUGCUAUGUAGGCUCAUUGGUCCGCCGCUUUGUUGAUUGACAAGCUAUGUCAAAGAGAUCAUUCUCUUGGCCAUUUCUCUACGCAAUGACACGACUCUCUAUAUAUGAUAAUUGGUUGAAGACAGACUAGUCAUCUACUACAAGUCCCGUGUUCCACCAUCGAGUAGUGGUCUACUAGAGUCAAUUCCAUCUUGGCUAUGCGCAUUUCCUGCCUUGAGUUGAUAGAAAGGUGCUUACGCCGUUAAGGUUGCCUCCCCAGGCCCCAAGGGGCGAGGGUUUAGUGGCCCACGACAGCCAAUCCGUCCACUCUUGGCAGGCAAUGACAGACCUGAGAAUGAAGACAGACUAGUAUCAAUUCGAAUCUGAGUUAGGCGAAGCAGUCAGUCGCGCCACUUCAACUUCACACCCGAGACGAAAGCGCAGCGCAAGCGGACGGGAGUAUUCGUUUCAGACAGAGCGAUCGCAGCAGCAGGUAUGCAUCAAGAUAGAAGGCAUGGAGUACUCACCAAGAGAACACGGCAUGGCUGGUGAAGAUUGGGCUUUGGCCCAUGAUGAUAGAUAAAAGAAGAGAGAGACAGUCCAAUUCAUACAGCUCCCAGACCCAGCAGACCCCGACCCCACUCCCAGUAUGACGACGCCCAUAUGACAUUUCUAUGGAUUGUAGCGUCAGAUCUAGUUCCUACUUUAGGCCACAGUUGACUAUAAGUAGGCUGUUAGCGAUCAAUGCUUGCCCUUCCUUGGGACUCUAAUACUUGUGGAAUCCUAUGGAGUCUGUAGUCUUUGACUCUGUCCUUUGGUGUUUCACGGUCUUCUUUGACUCAAAAGGGAUGCAAAUUAUGGAAUCCUCUCGAACGCUGUGAAGUGUUCCGAGACCAACACUCACAAUCACACCCCUGCACUAAAUGAGGUCGGUAUCGAAAGAAGGCAAGACUCAAAGCUGCCCCUUUUUUGAAGACGAGAAUUCCACUUCCUUUCUUAUGUUAAUUUGAAUUGCUUCCGAAAGAGUGAAAAUUAGUGGUAGUGGUUGGAUCAAAGGACAGAGUCAAAGACUACAGACAAGCGGCCCCUCCAUAGGAUUCCACAAGUAUUAGAGUCCCAAGGAAGGGCAAGCAGCAUUGAUCGCUAACAGCCUACUUAUAGUCAACUGUGGCCUAAAGUAGGAACUAGAUCUGACGCUACAAUCCAUAGAAAUGUCAUAUGGGCGUCGUCAUACUGGGAGUGGGGUCGGGGUCUGCUGGGUCUGGGAGCUGUAUGAAUUGGACUGUCUCUCUCUUCUUUUAUCUAUCAUCAUGGGCCAAAGCCCAAUCUUCACCAGCCAUGCCGUGUUCUCUUGGUGAGUACUCCAUGCCUUCUAUCUUGAUGCAUACCUGCUGCUGCGAUCGCUCUGUCUGAAACGAAUACUCCCGUCCGCUUGCGCUGCGCUUUCGUCUCGGGGUGUGAAGUUGAAGUGGCGCGACUGACUGCUUCGCCUAACUCAGAUUCGAAUUGAUACUAGUCUGUCUCAUUCUCAGGUCUGUCAUUGCCUGCCAAGAGUGGACGGAUUGGCUGUCGUGGGCCCACUAAACCCUCGCCCCUUGGGGCCUGGGGGGCAACCUUAACGGCGUAAGCACCUUUCUAUCAACUCAAGGCAGGAAAUGCGCAUAGCCAAGAUGGAAUUGACUCUAGUAGACCACUACUCGAUGGUGGAACACGGGACUUGUAGUAGAUGACUAGUCUGUCUUCAACCAAUUAUCAUAUAUAGAGAGUCGUGUCAUUGCGUAGAGAAAUGGCCACUAAGAGAAUGAUCUCUUUGACAUAGCUUGUCAAUCAACAAAGCGGCGGGACCAAUGAGCCUACAUAGCACCCACUGGCAUUUAUGUCGGGUCGUAGUCCGGUAUCCUUCGGGCGCUGUAAGAAAGAAGAUGCUAUGUCUCUGUUCUCAUUCCCCAUGGGGCCAUGAACUACGUGAUAGAACCAGUCUUUCUUCUAUAGUUAUAGUCUUCCUCUACGAAAAGGUGGAACACCGUCUUUGUAGCUGUUUACUACGCCUACUUCAUGUAUACUAGCGCGCCCUUUUCUCGCGCACACCGCCCGCGGCGGAGGUAGGUACGGCCGAUACCUAAAUACGGGUGUCUUAUCCAUAGGAUCUUUUCUAAAGGAAUAAGAACAAAUAGAAGAACAUAACAUAUAAGGCUAUUUCUAUUUGACCCACUACGGUCGUGACAGGUUGACCAUUGUCGUCAACUAGGGAGACUUCAGUCAGCUCCCCGCCAAUGAAAGCAGGUGACUGUUCCAACUGAACUGGAUCAGGUGCACCCAUUGGACGCUAGAGCCAAUGUUCUACACACAGAAGGACUGCACUUAUAAAAAAAGAAAAGAGUUUUCUACCAGUGUAUAUCGAGAAGCCAUGGCCCAGCGACUUGCUGAAAUUAACGUUGAAAUACAAAAUGUAGAAAAUGCUCUUCGAAAUACUCGAAGAAUGUUAAAUGGUUUCUUGAGGCAUCUUCCCCACCCCAGCCAACCCUUUCCUCAGCUGAUGCGACAUGCUUCUUUUAACUAAGAUUCCAUUCUUCGAAACAGAGGCCGGCCAGCCCAUAGGUUAUAUAAUAUAUGUAUAAACACAAUAGACGGGGUCUUCUGAGCUCCCUUUGAGGCUAAUUCGAAGAAGAAAAGCAGAUUCCGUAUCAUGGGAUGGUCCAACCGGGUGAACCAAUUCUUAUCCUUCCCCUCUCACCGCCCAUGUUUGCAGAGACGAAAGGGAAUCGGUCACCCCGGUUGAUAAGAUGUAUUCUUUGGUAAAUUCUUUUUAAAAUACCCUUCCCUUAAAAAGAAAGAGAAAGAAAAAUGAUACUUGGAUCGUCCUUGAGUUGCCUGCAGGUAAACAAGCGGUUGGUUGAGGUUUGGAUGGGAGUCUCGUUUAGUCACUCGCUCGGGUGUAUAAAGUAUCUAGCUGAUGGGUCGAUUUAAAGGCAUAAGGCUCGACUUGUAGCAAAGAAGGGGUAUGCCCAGAAGCUCCUUCGAAAUUAUCACAGGAAUAAGUGCACAGUUGCGCCUCAAAGUGAAUUUGAUGAAGCCUACGACACAGUUAGAUGGACUUUGUAGGCGUAGUCCUGAACAUCCUGGGCUUUCCGGAGAGGGUAUGUGCAAUGGACAGGGAAUGCAUCUCCACUCCUCGUUCUAUAUAAGCAUUAAUGGGGAGCUGAAUGGUUUCUUUCCUGGGGAGAGAGGGUUGGAGACAGGGCGACCCUAUGUCGCCAUACAUCUUGUUUUGGUUAUGGAAGCAUUUUCUGGGCUGCUGUCCUAUAUGGCAAACCGAGGAGAUUUAGAUUCCACUGGCGGUGUCCUUCAAUCAAGGAGAGAUCUACUUCAGUCUAUUUCCAGGUAAGGCAGUGGUUUCUUUCUACUCGACGAGGACUAUUCUAGUGAAUGAAUGGAGUGAUGACUAGAAAGGGUUUCCCCUAAUGUACCGGAUCCUACCUAAGAGGGCAGUACCUUCCUGAAAUCUAGGGCUCAACAAGCCACUAAUUGUGUAGACGUGUCUGCUUUUCCGCUCAGAAAGGAUGGGAUUCAAUUCAUUGUCAAACAAACUGUUCCUGCUCGGCCCUUCACCAACAUCCUCCUUCUCUACCCUGAACUCCUAGACCGGGAGAAUAGCUUUCUUUGAUCUACAAAACUUAGGAUUCUACAGAAUAUUCCAUGAUUACCUGUCCCAUUCGUUGGAUACACGGAACACAAACUUAACCUUCAAGUUCAGAUAGUGAGAGAGUGAACAAGAAGCAAAAAAUUCUAUUAAUUAGAUUCCGCUAUCAGAGAAGGAAUACCCGGCAAAGUCCAUAUCCUCUGUGCUUUGGGAUUCCGUUUGAUCUGGGCUUGUCUUGCAUUACUUGCCUGUUUUCUGGAAAAGAAGUCUUCCAUGCCGGUUCCCGUCCGGCCUUAGACUAACUCGCAGUCAGACAGGUUCGUGAGAUCAUAGUCUGAUUCUUCAGAUUCCUCGCUUCCAUCCCACUAGACUAGAAGGAGGACAGCAAGAAGGAAUCAAAGGUAAUAAAUAGCUUUCUCUUCCCUCACUACGGGAUUCAGAAAAAGAAAGAGGGUCGACGAAAGUUGAGUUCAAUGCUUUAGUUAAGGUAAUUUCUUACUUCGGACCCUUGUAGCUCUGCUUCCCCACGGGAGCCGGUAAGGGAGGACAGGACCUAUCCGCGAUGGCGAAGGUUGCUUUUAGUCCGUUUUGUUCAAUUCCACUUGCAAAUGAGGUGAAAGUUCUUGCUCGAGUUCUGGAGUGAGGCAGUUAGUUUAUUAAACUGAGUGAGGGGAAUAUGCAAUAUUUGAAGGUUUGCGCACCUCUCUCUAUUGUGAACAUCUUUGAUACCUUGUUAGAAGGUUCAGGUACGGAAAUUAGGAUAUAACCCACCCAGAGAAAUGAAAGGAUCAUAAGAAGGACCAAAGAAAAGGGCGGUUCCAACAACAUUGAGGGGUGGCAGCGGUUGUUAGAUCCGUUCAGUCGAAAACCUCACCCGAGGGCCACGUCCUGAACUCAUAAACCAAUUCUCUUUUAAUGACAUGUCUUUCUUCACUCUUGACUGCACUCGAUGACUGCUAACCCGGAUCUGUGGACUGAGAACGGCUACCUACACUGUGGAAUGCAUCCGUGUUCUUGCUCCUAUGCGUAUGCUGAUUUGGCGUUUGGCGGGUGAUUCAACGUAUUCGGAUGCCCUAUAUCCCUGACUCGGCUGAUUUUGAAUGGAAUGCCUUCCCUACCGAUAACCCUUUCAAAGGAAGAUUCCUUUUCGGCUGACUCUCCAUUGGCUGAUGAUGAUACUUCUCCUCAAACCGCUUCUUCUGUUUGCUGCUCUUUAAUCAUCAACCUCGAUCUCAACCAGGCCAGGAUGGUUUGUCUGCCCUUUCAUUCCUUUGAUGCCUUUCUAUGGAUUAUUCCCCCGCCUCACUCGCGAAUCGUCCCUUCUUUCUUUGUUCUCGGCAUGACCCGUGGCUAGUGAGAAGAGCAGUCUCAUCCAUUACAGCCGAAAACCUGAGCCACCACUUCCUAAACUAAACCUCAUGGUGAAGAAAUGCACUCCGCUUCAAACCUUCUCAAGGAAGCCGGAAAUAGCCGGUUGGGUUUUCCAACCGAGAAAGAAAUGGGAUUUGGGGGAAUUUUUGUUUGAAAGAACAUUUCCUUGUCGAUUCUUCUCCUCGUUCCUUUUAUCUUGGGCAUCUCAUACUAAGACUAAAAACGAACCCAAUCUCGAUAUCCUCACUCAUGGCACACUUUCUAGAUAUCUAUUUUUUAUAGGCGGCUUCACAAGCGAGAAAGGUUCUUAGCGCGUCCUCAAGUGAUCGAUCGGUUUCUACUCUGCUAGACGGAGACCGGCUUGACCCUAAGGUUGAAAGCUCUUUGGGCGCUGGCUUUUCAAAACCUAUAUAGCUUAAUGAGAGACACUAGUCAGAUAGAAUUCAGAUUCCUUGCUUUGCUUACUAUAAGCAAUUUUGGUAUAAGAAAUGAUGUCUAUGAUGCGCUGUCGCAUAUGCCUGUUAACUGAGAUGAUUUCCUUACCUUACAAUAGUAUAUAUAGUUAAUAAGGGGUUGAGGGGUGUAUACCAAAACCCGCGACGGAGGACUGAUCUCCUUCUUCCUAGAAGCAUCAAAUCUUCCGAUGUCUUUGUAAGAAACAAUAGUCAAUUGAGCCACGGGAAAGCUUGAAGAUCGGAAAGCACCCUUUUGAAUAGCAAAUUAAACGCCUCGGACCAUUCAUUUCUAGCCCCUCCGAUCUAUAGUAACUAGCCUCUCUGUCCCGCUCCGUGGGCUUCUAUACUCUCUCGUCCGUUUAGGUCAAUAGUGACUAUACUAUCCCCUCUGGGCACGGGAAAGACAUUUCUUCAAUUAACAUGACUUCUGGUGACCAAGCAAAAAUAGUAAUAGAAAAGAACGCAAUGGAUCUUUAUUGUUAAUUGAAGAAAUUCCAUCAAGCGAAGAUUCCCUUCUCCAUGUGUCAAAUGAAUCAACAAUUAUCAUUGCUUCACUCGCAGGCGCAUCCACGGGACACCCAUCCCAGACCACAGCUUCGGAUUAAUUAGUAGGAGUAGGAGUCGAAAGCAGCACGGGAGCUAUUAGCCUUAGGUUCGGAAAGCAUAUUCUUUAUAGAAUAUGAAUAUUCAACGGUUGCUUACGCUAAUAUGAGAAAAGGUUAGGGAAUGACUAAAGAAGAACCACAUGAAUAGGUAAACCCCUUCUUUACUAUUCUUUUAUUCUUUUUUGUUGAUUGGGUUAUGCCCUUUUCGUGCUGGCUAAGAUUGAGAAUACGACUCAAACUCCUAAGCCAACAUAUUCUGAUUGAUUGGCUUUCUGGGUCACAGGGUGCUGCGAUUGAUGACUUUACUGCAGGUGUGCCCUCCCUUUCACUUCUACAGGAAGAAAGAUCAGCCGGGAUUCAAUAGAGAGUUCAUGCCAAAGGGUAUACUACGAGAAUUUUUUUUCAUUAAGCUUCCACAAUCGAUUCGUGAGCACAGACGAUUUGAUAAAAGAGGAUUUCCUUGAUUCAUUAUUCUAACGGUAUAGAAGGGGAUCCUCGGUGUCAAACAGACGAACAGUUCGUCGGUCGGGCUUACUUAUUCUGUAGGCGGGUUGCCUCUUCUUAGUAGACCCUUUUUUACUCUAAUCCCCUUAUGUUUAGUAAAGGAAAGACGAAUAGCUUCAAAGCUUCCUUGGGGUGAUAAUAAAAGAGAAUCUUGGCUACUCACCGCCUAGCUUCCCUUCUUCCUAAUGGACUACGAGGACCCUAGGACUGAGGACUCUUAGAAAGAAGGAUUACCGUCUUGCGUACCGUACUGGCUUAUACCCUUAUUAAGAACAGACUGGCUAACUUCCUGGCUUUUUUUAUUCAAAGAAGGCAAAGAAGGAGAGGAAAGCACAGACACAGACGGGAAGGGCCCUAACGAAAUGGAGUACUUACGCCCNAAUUCUUGAAGCUGCUGAUGUCCCAGCCAUGACCGGUGUCUCCGCUAUCGGUUUCCGUGAUCUAAUCGGCAAGAGCCUUCAUCCAAAGACUCACUGGAGCAUGAAGAAAUCAAAGUCUACACUACGUAAUUCUCGGGAGAAUUUGUUGCGUGAUUCUGAUGAUCAAUCGGACGGUUGUGAUUCGACGACUUCGUCAUCAUCAUCGGCAACAACUGCUUUAAAGGAGUGGAAUGGGAUAAUGCGGGAAUUGGAGAGGACGAAUCAUGUAAGGUCUUCAUCAGACGGUGGAAGAUUGCUUUGCGGAUUGGGGUUGUCGCCAAGGAAGUCUGCUUGUCUGCUUGCUCUGGUAGCUGGUCCCUAGCUGCUGGUAGAGGGAUAGAUUAGGAGGGAUUUUGAAUCUUGCUUAUUGACUGAAUUUCCGGUACCGGGGUUCAUCAAAGUUCGGGAGAAGCGUAUGGAUGGCUACCAGAACUUGACUCUUCAGUGGAAGAACUCGCUCCAAUGCAGCAUUCGAGGGAAGUGGGCACCUGGUCUCGUUGAAUAUGCGAGCUGUAAUGACCAGAGAUUGGCCGUUAAGCUGCCAUGACCAUAGGUAGGCAGUGCCAAAUGAGAACUUUGCGAAAGAAAAAAAAGAUAGCUAUUGUAGGAAGUGGGCUCUUUGCUCCUUCCCAGAUCAGACUAGCUUCGUAGUUCCGUGGAUUCGAACGAAAGUGGUUCCAACGAACCGGGUAAGGUAUGAAGCAGCAUUAGCCUCAGAAUCCACAUCUGAAUCCCCCUACGAAGCAGAAUAAUCCGCAUCCGAUUGCUUCAUAUGAAUCAUACAAAGCAGCUGAGGCACCCCAAGCGGCAGACUAGGAUACCCCUUUUUUCAGGAAGGAAGAACGAGCCUUUUUCAGCCUGACCCGAUGAAGAGGGGAUUUCAAAGAGAGGGUUAUAGCCCUACCAAUACGUAGAGUAGCUCGGUAAUGAAUAGCCCAAGCCUCCCUUACCUUGUGAAGUGAAGCAACCGAAACCCUAUUUUCUUUGCUCUCCUUUGGAUGAUCAGUCUCCCAGUAAUAUCCCAAGUAGUGAGCGGUCCAAUUGUCUGGCGGAAGCCUGUUGCGCAUGAUUCUUUCUUUGCUAUGAGAGUGAAAGCUGCUCAGAAAGGUCUCUUUAGUAAGAGACUAUGCCUUUGACGUUCUUCAUUGGCUUUGGUGCGGGUCAUCCCCUUCUAAGGCAGAUCCGUAAUAAGCGAUGGGAUUCCAGGUGAUGAAAGGAGGUGUAAUUGAGUAAGUGAGAAGUUAGGUUCUCGGAUAGGAAUGAAUCCCCGGAAGGACACCUUGCCUUGCUCUGUAGCCGGAAUAGAUAGAUUCAAGGGGCGAAGGAAAGUCGGAUGAAAGUGAUCCUAAUGGAAGUGGAAAGAGACGACCGCUUCUGCCUUUUGUUCACAUGAAAGCAGAAGACCAAGGGUGAAACCCUCCUACCAACAGACUUUAGUAAGUAGUUGGCUUAGUCAGUGAAUUCGGUGAAUAAGUGCGUGGAACUCUUGCUUGUUUGAUGCUUUCCAGUGGUAGUUGCGUCAAGCAGCAUAAGCACUUACCUGACCAUGAGUGUAGAGUGUAAUAGGGCCAUUUUCUCUUAUGAAAUGGGGAGUCUGAUCCCCAAUAGGAAAAUAAAAAGAGAACCAAUCUCAUUCGUGACACACGUUGAUUCGAACAAAGUACUUCUUUACUCUUUCUUAUUCUUAGGAGAAUUACUCCCACUCCGAAAUAGCUGCAAUGCUGGCAUGCUGAUCCGCGAUUACUAGCGAUUCCAACGAAUUAAAGUAAAGGCUAAUGGCCUUAACUACUUAAACGAAUCAAUCUCCCACUUCUCUACUUUAGUAAAAGGAGGGUCUUGCUGUUAAGCUAUCUUUCUGCUGCUCAUCGCUUUCAGACCUAUCUUUGUGCUUACACUACAAUAUUAUGCACCUUCCCAGCUUGGGUCCUCGCUUUGGGAUGAAUUCCUUCUACAUGUUGAGAGGAUCCGAGCCUUGAAUCAAGACACAGGAGUUUGAUCAAAUUGGGCGUGGAACGAGUAUAAGGAGUUGGAGCAAAGACGACUAACAACCCGUCUAUAACUGAUGAUUAUCAGUUCCCAAGCUCCGGCCUAAACACAACUGCCUUUUCAACCCACUUGUACGACUCGGUUACAACUCUCAGGUCCCAAUUGACACCUGAUUUCUGAUAGAAUACCAGGUCUGCUCUGCUGUAAAAGCUGGCAUUUAUGGCACUGCUGCCACCAAGAAUGCUUUCCCCACUCAAGGGAGCUAGUCUCUCUCUGGUUCCAAUAUCGUAUAAAAGAAAGGAAAUGGAAAGUCAUGAGCUUCUCUUCUCCUUCCGGAAAGGCACAUCCAUUGUGGGGAAAAGGCUUGGAGCUUAAGCAGGACCUGUGAGGGGGCCUAGCUAACUUUCUUCUCUGUUGAGCCAUUUCUUAUGCCUGCACGCAUUACAAGUCAAGACCUUUACGCGGGGCGGCAACUUUUAACCCUUCUUUCUAUUAAAGAAUUCCACAGGGACUGAUUGAGAGCUCGUUCUUAAAGAAGGCAUGUCCUAGGAAGGAGGUCAGGUCUAGCAGGCAGAAAGGCAUUGAGAGCUCCCUCAGCAACUACUAGUUCAACACCAGACUAAACGGUUGGAAGUAAGGCAUCAGAUGGUAGACGGAGAGAACUAAUAGACCUUUGACUCAUUUACUCACGGGAACUACUAGAGUUAUAAAGUCUCAGUCUCACGAUCCGAUCCGUCAAUAACCGAUCAAAACCACGAUCAAUAGAAGAAGAAGAAGAUUUGUCCAAUAGCCGACUAUUGAGAAUAGAUAGACUCCCUACCUAAAUACGUAAAGGUAAAGCUAUCACUACUUGCCAGUGGUGCCCAUUCGCUAUUCAGCAUUCGUUGAUAAUUGAUCGACCCGCUUGGAGAUUGGAGUACUACUGAAACAACUUCGUGGGAGGCGGGUUGAUCUUGGUUUACAAUCCUCUUGAGGAGCAUUCAAAGAUCUGUAAAUCCCUUACAUUAUGUCAUUUCGAGGUAGAGCACCCAAGUGAUAGAGAAUCUGGGAAUGAAAAGAAAAGGACACGCCGAUAGCAGAAGUGGUGUUGCUUGAAACCGGUGCUGAAUAAGUGGUACUGCUGGCGCCAAUAAAUCAUGAACCCCUUCUUGUGGAGCCAAUCGAUCAUGAAAGACUUCGUUUUGAGUCGUACCCUUUCUGUUACUGGAUUAGAGGUCUUCUCGCGGGUAGGGCUCUCCUAGCGAAGAGGAAGUCUUCUUUUGUACCGUGGUAUAGUUUCAUUUGUGCUCUCUUUGAACCCCGCUUGCUUGGCAGAGUGUCCGUUGUGCUCUUCUGGUCAAGUCCUUUGCUCAAUUGUAAUUCUAGAGGAUCAUGAUAAGACCUACUAAUAAAGUUAAAGUAAGUAGUGCUCUCGAAACCGAAUCUGAAGCUUGGCACGAUCCUUUUUCGUAGACAGACUCAGAAGGCAGCCUCGGGCAGAAGCGUCAUAGACUUUAAAGAAUAGGAAGGAGAUCCCGGGCAGCUCUCAACUUAGUCCCCAGCGUCGGGCACAAAGAAAGAGACUUUCUAGAACAACCAAGGCACGAACAGGAACGAAUGGAUCUUACCUGACCAACAAGGGCACAUGAACAAUGGAAUGGAAUAGAUGGAUCUGACCUACUUUACGAGCGUACGAGCUCUCACUGGUGGGCUUGGAUCCAAUCGAAAGGUAUUAGUGAAAGGGGGACUUGCAUUGCCAAAGGUGGAAAUAACUGGGAUCACCUGUGGAUGUCUCACUAGAAGAGGAAUUGGUAAUAUUCAAUAAGAUAAAGAGAGUCAGCAUAGAAGUUGCUUGGCGGAUAUUCCCGGUGGGUUACCUGGGACUGAUCAACAGGGACUACAUAGCAUUCCUUUGACUAAUUGGGGUCUUCCACCCAUCCUUAUACACCUCUUGGUACAUAUCCAGGUCAAAGAGAAUGGAACGUAUCUAGAGAUCUACUUAAGCUAUUAAGGGAAUCCGGGAAGAGAGGGAAUCGAUGACUCGUUGUCGGUGUUUAGGGAAAAGGAUGGAUUACCCAUCGCAUCGUCCGGCGAAGGAUUUAGAUUAGAAGGAUGAAAGAGAGUUCAUACACAGAUUGAGUAGAAUUGCCCGAAACCCUGGUCAAUCAGUAACAACUGAUAAUCGAGCAGUCCCUCACAACCAAAGAUGAAUGAACAAGGAGGCCAUUUCCGGGGACAAAGCAAAUAAGGCUGGAGAAGCCCCCCUCGGCCUAGCAAGGAAUUGGGUGGACUGACUUCCCGAUGAUCAGAUUUUUAAUAGAAAGCUAGGGCUUGGAUCGUGGUAGAAAGCUAGGUGAUGGCGAAGGAGAAAGCCAGAAUGAAAGGCAAAGCGUAACAGGAGGAGGGAAGAAGACUUGAAUGUAUCCCUUAUUUUCCUUUUUAUGCCACUCCAUUUCUGUGAAAGAGAUUGAUUGUCGGCCCUUAUACAUGAAAGGGCAAAUGUUUGAUGUCGAAAUCCAGCGCAUCCUGAUAGAUCCCGGGUCUGCAGUGAACCUCCUGCCAUAUCGAACUCUUCGGAGGGUUUACAACUAACGAUUUGGAGCAUGAAGAUGUGACGGGUUUCAAUCAAAGCGAGUCUAAUACAAUGGGAUCGAUCACUCUCCCGCUUGGAGAGCUUGAGACUAAGGUGUUAUUCUAUUCUAUGUGAUUGACGUCGACACCUCCUAUCGCGCUUUACUUGGGAGACUGUGGCUUCAUAAGUACAAGGUCGUGCCCUCCACUCUCCAUCAGUGCCUCAAAUAUGUUGAGAAGGGCUCAGAGAAAAGAAGAUAUGGGGACUUGCAUGCAUCCCUUUUCUGUGCUGGAAACGCGUUAUACCGACGCUAAGUUCUACUUUUAACUAAACGCGAACAGUCGGCAUUGCAAGCAGAUAGAGAGCCCCCGCCCAUUUGAGUCGUUGCGAGCCGGAAAGCGUACCGGCAGUUUGAGCCGCGAAAGGGCCGCAAUUAAUUCUAUUAUUAUUUUAUUAUAUUAAUAUUAAUUAAUUAAUAUAAUAAACAAUAUAGAAUAUUCUCUAUCUAUCUAUAAACAAUAAGAAAAUCCUUUUUUUUUAUUGUUCAUUCCUGGGAAGAGGAAGAAGCAGAUAGAGCAAAGACCUACCCUUUCCGUCCGCUCUUUCCGAAGUGAGCAAAUUGCAUGUAGAGAUCCGUAGGGGCUUAUAGUUUAAUUGGUUGAAACGUACCGCUCAUAACGGUUAUAUUGUAGGUUCGAGCCCUACUAAGCCUACCACCCCUUCUCUUCACCCGAAAUAAGGAAGUCGAAGUCCCCGCCACCCUGCGGAUCUCAAUCUAGCGACGGCACCUGGAACCACACUGCUGCCGCUGCCCUUCGGGCACGCCUCAUACGCUUACCACUCACCUACGCUCUUGCAGCAUGCCCCCUUCGGGCAAUACGGCUUUCGUAAUACGCGAAGCAGCUGAGCGAUAGCUCUGCUAUAUUCUCGCGAUGGCGAAGAAUCGAAGCGAAGAGCGAAGUUACAACUUUAGGCGAGGCGAAGAGCGAUAGCGAAACCCUUAACUGAAGUCUUAUUGUUCUCGAACAACGAUCAUUCAUUACGGCCGGCCCGACCAAAGAAAAGACUGAAAGCCCGGCCCGGGCAAGCUAGAUUAUGGAACUGAUCUGACCAAACUAGGUCUAAUGGAACAAGAUCUCGAUCUCAAUAAGGAAUUGGAAUCUGGAAGGGCCGGCAAGAAUAAAUGCGAUAGCGAGGUUGAGCAGUAGCGAGGGGCGAUAACGAAGCAAAGCAACCUUUAAGAGUAAGAGAGAGUAGAUGCGAAGGUUCGGAUCGAAGAUCUUCGCGAGACGGCCCAUGAAUCUCGAGAAUCGAGCGCGGGGCUUGAAGACCCUACCGCAUUCCGGCCCCGGGGCCCUCAAUUGGUCCUUUCUCUCUUCUCUUUUACCAGUGAGUGGUGAGUUUCCUUUUUCUUUAGGUGGGUACCUCGUGGAUUCAGAGUUUGUUCCAACAGCUGCCACACGUGAGAUCCUGAUCGUCUUUCUCCCAGUGUUGUUGCCUGCUGGGGGAAGGAAGGAAAGAAUCCAACCAGGACCGGAGAAGGUCAAAGUCUGGGCCUGAGAGGGCUGCCUGGUUUCGCCUACGCUAUGGUUUCACAAGAUUGAACCUUUUUUGUUCAACCGAAGUUAAGGAGUUCCAGAGUACGAGGGAAUGGGCUUUCAUUCCCCGGACCGCCUCAUCUAUGUAUUCGGCGCCUCCCCCCGAUUGCUUGAAGAUGCGCGCGCGAUACGAUAAGGGGCCCCUGGGAAGAACCAAUGAAAAGCCAGGGUAGUAGAGCCUCGGAGCCGGCCCAAGCGAAGAUCGGCACUCGAAGGCUUGAGGAGCAGCCCGCAAAAGGGAAAGCCGUGGAGACGGCAGACUCGCCAGUCAGGCACACCGUGAGGCUGACUACAGCAGACCGGGAGGUUACAAUUCUUUCCUGUUUCAAUUUCCGGGAGUGAAUGUAGGAAGUGCAGACGGUGGAUCAGGUGUGAACAUUCAACCAAAGGCGUCUUGGGGAUCGGCAAUAGCUAAGCAUUGCGGCCAUCACAGUUCAAGCUACGUAUGGCUGGCGUACAACCUACGGCCAAAACAAAAGCAACAAAAAAAUAUGCUGGUACCUUUCCUUUAGUCCAAUCUUAGACAAAGAGCAGCAAGUAGGCGAUUUGUUCGCUGGGCGAUUCAGCUAGCCAAAUCGCACUAAUGCAAUUCAUUCGCCCUACUAUCCUACAGAGCAAUUCAAACUCUUACUCUUAGUAAGACUAAGGCUAGGGCGACUCAUUCUAUUCUCUCUGAGGUCAGGUAGGUGAAGCGUCUAGCUUAGGGGGGCGCGUCAAAUCGCUGAAAGGCCUUGGUGAUUUUACAAUUUGGUAAUCUGAAGAUAGAAAACCGCAAUGAUUCCAAACUUCACUUCAAUAGUCUCGGAUCCAUGCUGCCCCGACUCCAAACUCGAUGUUUGUUAACUAAGCGGGACAUUCCCAAACUCUUUCUUAGAAAACCCCUUUCUCGUUCCCUUGUACAGCCUUUACUUUACCAGGCUUUUUUCAUUAUGUGUUCUUUUCGGGAGGUUAGGAGUGAGUUAAGCCAAUGCGUACAAAUAGAUAGACCAGGUUCUUUUUUUGUUGAGGUCAAUCUGUCUAUGAUUAAGAGUCUAGGUGGUGUUGAAGCCGGCUUAUUCAUGCCAGUCAUCUUAGAGCUAUGAGUCAAAACAAUGUUCACCAACUCUUCCAUAGAAAUCUUGUUCAUAUAUCGAAAAUUCAAAUAUGAGUUUCAAUUGUUAUAGUGUUUUGUCUCCUCCCAAGGUAGCAUUGCCGAGCGGGCGAUCCCUGUCUUGUUUAUCCAGCUAGCCUUUCCUUUCUCCGUGGUACUAAAAUUCUAUUUGUGAGAGCUCCUUGCGGCUCGGCUACUUUUUUUGAAAGGUAAGGUGGGACCUUAACCUUAAACUUAAAGUUAAAGCAUUAUCAAUAAAGAUGCCUAUCUAUAAAGCGCUGGGUUGAAGAGGGAACAAGUCCCACAGAGAGAUGAUAAGUGGGAGAAAGAGUGAAAUUCAAAUCUCUUCUGGAAUGGAAGACCCCCAUCCACUGACUCCAAGACUGCAGCCUAACACCCAAGUUAGCCUGACGGUCAGCUAAAUAAGUCGCUUCCCUCUUCACAUGAUUAAUUUGAACUAUAUAUAAUAUAUUGAGAAAUGUUUUCUCAGGAUAAAGCAUAGGCGCCAAGGUUCUUUAUUUUUACCAUUCGCCCAUAUAAUCAUGUUAAGAGAACCUUUGAUAUGAUGAUUUGAAAAGAAUCAAUAGUUUGGACAAAACUAUGGCCAUGCAGGAGAGUUUCUGCUUUUGCAAAGGUUGCUUCUUUAAUCCCUAGAGUAGACCCGUUCAAUUUCACAUGACAGCACCAUUGUGCCAUCUCUUAUGACCCCACCAUAAUCCGAAUUCCUAGAGUAGCCCUCCCUACUCCUUACUUUAACAAGUAAGCAAGUAAACUACCUUCAAAGUUCAUCUUGAUGUGAUUUGAAGAGGAAAUUGCCACAAGAUUGAGAUAGAUAUGUUUGAAUUUCUUAUUAAAAAAAAAAAAGAAAAGGCUCCCUAUUUAACUGCCCAUCCAAGAGCAUUUAGCUUCAUAAUACUUCUUUUUUUCUUUUUUUUUUUUUCUAUAGACUGCAUAAAUCUUAUCUUCUAGCCCCAAAAAACAAACGGAGGAAAAUCUCUUUUGGCAGCUCAAUCCUCAUGGUAAUAAUUAUGCCAAUUCUGCCUAAAAAUCUCUUCAGGUGAUCAAGAGGGCCCCCUUUUUCAGUAGAUGAGAUUAGGAUGAAAGGUAUAUUAUCUCAACGCUUCUUUUCUCUGGCUUGCUCUUCAAAAUUCCAUUUUGGCCCGCGGUAAUGUAAUCAGGAUUUCAUCUCCUAAAUUCUAUUUUUUUUUCUAUGAAAGCAAGAGAUGGAAAGUGUUGUUUUAAAUUCUGCCUUAUUCCAUGAGAUCUAGAAGCACUUCUGCAACCCUCUCUCUCUCCAGCGCUCUUUUUUUUUUAUUUUACUUUUUUCAAAGGGGAAUGAAGGCCUUCCUUAGAAGUUGUCGCUCGAUCGAAAGGAUAUAACACAUACGAAACCUUAGCUUCGCUGACUUUCGGAGGUAUAACCUUCGCCACGACAUUAGUGGCUUAGCUCUUCGCGCUUCCCGCAGGCUUUUUUUAUAGAGAGAGAGUAAGGGGGCGGUACGGAAGAUUGGUCCGCUCCGCAAAGCUGAGCUUUUCGGUUCGCUCCCUCUAUGCGGUCGGCCUUCUUACCAGUCUGCCUCCUUUCUCUUUUUGGAAUAUAACAAUGCCAGCUUUGCUUGCGUUCUUCACCGGCGCUCGCCGGAUGUAUCACUUAUCCCGCUCCUAAGGUAAGGAGUCUUCUCUGUGUUAUAAUCUUUACGGGAAUGAAUCGCAUAUGUUGGUUGAGAAUUGCUCGGGAAUUCAUUGAUAGUUAGUUUGCCAGGUUCUAGGGGGGCUACUCUUCUUUUUUUUUUUUUUCGAUCGAGCCGCUCUCCCUCAUUCCACUCGUCCAGCCUUCUUCAAGAACUUGUACAAUUGAUGCCACAAAGAUAGCCAACUCUAUUAUCAAAUAAAUAAGGAAACGGGCGACGAUUUGGCACCAGAUAUCCGGAGGUGUGGAAAGAGCAGCUGUGAGAAGCGGAAAAACCAUCAAAAAACGACGAUUGUUUGUGGAGGUUUCCACGGAAAGACCCCUUGGUUCUGGCAAACAGAUCACAAUUACAGGUACCUGAGAGCAUACCGAUGGAAUGAACGAAAUACGAACAGUUAACAUAAUAUAGUCAUAGAUCUUAGGUUGUAACUUGAUCAUGAGCGAAUUUGUUGAUGUUGCACCCACGAAGUAUGGAAAGUGCCAAACAUUGGGAACUACCCGGGGAGGAGUUAGGAACAGGAAGAAGGAAAAGCGAGAACCACUUAAAUGGAGGAAUCGAUUGUAUUUCGCCCUUUGUUCCCCAUAGCAACUAGGGAUCAAAAAGCACCAAAUUUGAUAACUUAUUAAAGGAAAGACGAAGUAAGAGCAUGCUAUUGAAGACGUUGCAACAUAUGUCGGGGGGGCCUCCGUUAAUUGUGUACGAACAAAAUACGAGUCCAAAGGCAGGGUAAGAAAGGGUUUAGUUAAUGGAGAUAUUAACUCUUCCGGGAACCAGUAACACGUAAACCAUGUCAAACCAAGACCGAUCAAUAUCCGAACGGAACGGAUUCGAACUUCUCCUAGAAGAGUUUCCGGUGCGAAAUGAAAUUCAUAGGAUAUAUAUAUGAGUAAUUCAAAGGAAAAAUAGAAAUAUUUGAUUAGAAGCCCCGAGCCCGCGCAGGAGAGGAAAGGUUGGUUGCACGUUUUCCGGGUGGGAGUAAUGCCUCCCUGCCGAUUACUUUCUCUCUCUCCCGAGGACGAUGGAUCUCGAACGGAAAUAAAUGAGCGGAACUACCCGACUCUGCGAACUCUGGCCUUCGGAGCACAUCCUAUCAUUUUUCUUUCACUUUUUUUGAGAUCGUUGUGACCUAGUGCAAAAAAAGUCAAGCGAAAGAAGCCCGCAUACCCACUCUUCUUUCCCCCCCCUUGCCUUGGGCUUGGGGGGCCUCGUUGUCACCUUUGGCUCCAACUACUUUACUUUUAGCUUGCUGCCAAAGUUUCCCUUACUCAAACAAACCAAAACUCAAACAAACCAAACCUCAUUUUUUGAUUUCAAGCGCCCAAAAUCGACCCGGCGGGUCUCGUAUAAAAACAGAAUUACUACAAGUUAAGUAACAAACUCAAAACGGAAUUGGAAUUCUGGGUCAACGAUAAUCUUUUAGAAGACAUCUUAUACAAUCGUAGAUUUCAUUAUUUAUAUCUCCUUCUUUUUUGACUAGGUUGAAAGCCUGUAGUAAAUUUUUGUGGACCGAAUCAAGCAAGUUCAUUUUAGGGGCGGGUAUCAAUCCGGCAUCCCGGAGAAGUUCAGAGGCUACCUUAUUUAAGAAACUGGGUGUUUCUAUAUAAGGGUGAGCUCCGGGGAACUCGGCAAUUCUAUUUUUUUUUUAUUUUGUUAAAUACGCGUCCACUUCUUGAAAUACAAGAUUGCGUAAACAAUCCUCCUUCUCUUUUCUUUUAUCCUUUCUGUUAUUAUUAGAAUUUGAAGAAGAUGAGGAAGAAGCGGGCGCCUGAGAAGCAUUUAGAUUUAGCAUGUGGUUGAUUACAUAAAUGGGGAACUGCCUUAAAGCGCGAACCAAGAUCCAUGAUACGAAAACCAAAAUAUAGAAAGUAAAGAAGAAAAGACAUAACCAAAAAAAUUGUGUAAAAUAAGUGAAUUUAUCCAGUUG